rnacentral:lncRNA from 1 species
CCAGCUAGCAUUUCUCUUGCGAAUUCUUCAUCAGUCCUCCACGCGGUUUUACUAUCUGCACAAUCAAUACUUAAAUCAUACAAACACAUAAAAGUGAGUGAUCAUUAGCUAGAUUACUUCUUAUGAUGUAACAAAUUGUACCUUUAAUCACUAGAGGAGUUGGAAAUCUCAAUAUUCCUUCACCGUCUGUUCGAAGGAGUUCUUUUAUCAUCUCCAGAGGUAUAGCAGCAGUGAGAGCCUUAAAUAAAGGUCCUUGAGGAAGUUUGAUCCCUCCUUCAUAUAGUCUAAGUACAUCCUCAAAACUAUCGAACUCGUUAGGGGUACCAUCAAACAGGGCAUGUAAUUCAGGGAGGAUGAAUUGAACAAUGGAUUUCAAAGCAUAUGUUAGGAAGUCUGACAUCUUCAAGUGACCAAAACGCUCGUCUCUCGGUACAUAGAUGUCUAAGCUCAGAAUAAGAGGAAUCCUGCUUUCACUUUUAGGAUCUAUACAAAGCAAAAAACAAUAACAACAAUGUAACUGAUCAAAAAGUUGCUUUCAAUGAAACUAAACGCGUUGAAUGGACUGGUAUUUGUGAACGUCUAACUAACCUGUUUGUGUUGGUGGUCUACCAGUUCUUCCUCUCCGAGGAUACGGGUAUUCAGCAGAACCUCCUAAGGUAGUUCUAACAUUUUCUUUACCUUCAUCAGGAUUACCCAAGUCAUUGUAGAUAUCAUAGUCAUAAAUCCUAUCCCACGCCUCGCGCUUUCCAGUUCCAUCUCCUCUUAAUGUUAGCAAUUCAUUUUCUCUGUAUUUUCGCAAAAGCUCUGGUGUUUUACUUGGGAGAUAUGGCUGCAUAAACAAUCAAAACAUUGCUAAAACUUUUGAGUUUGAACAUUUGCCUUUGUUUACAUGCUCAGGGGUCGUUUCGUAGUUGGUUAGAGUCAUCCAGGUAUUAGUAGUAUAUGAAUUAGUAUAAGGGAAUUUAUGUAUAGUAUUAGUUAUGCUUAUUUUUAAAUAGUAAACCAAAUAUUGUAUCGAUUUUAUAUAUGAAUAACUUGCACUACCAAAAAUAUCACUAUAUUCCGACUGAAAAAUGUUCAGUAGCUAUUUUCACAAAUAUUUUUAUUAAAUUGGCGAGAAAAGAAAAAUAUUGUAAUUGUUUCAUAUGGAAAAAUUAAGAAGCUUCCUAGUAUNNNNNNNNNNNNNNNNNNNNNNNNNNNNNNNNNNNNNNNNNNNNNNNNNNNNNNNNNNNNNNNNNNNNNNNNNNNNNNNNNNNNNNNNNNNNNNNNNNNNNNNNNNNNNNNNNNNNNNNNNNNNNNNNNNNNNNNNNNNNNNNNNNNNNNNNNNNNNNNNNNNNNNNNNNNNNNNNNNNNNNNNNNNNNNNNNNNNNNNNNNNNNNNNNNNNNNNNNNNNNNNNNNNNNNNNNNNNNNNNNNNNNNNNNNNNNNNNNNNNNNNNNNNNNNNNNNNNNNNNNNNNNNNNNNNNNNNNNNNNNNNNNNNNNNNNNNNNNNNNNNNNNNNNNNNNNNNNNNNNNNNNNNNNNNNNNNNNNNNNNNNNNNNNNNNNNNNNNNNNNNNNNNNNNNNNNNNNNNNNNNNNNNNNNNNNNNNNNNNNNNNNNNNNNNNNNNNNNNNNNNNNNNNNNNNNNNNNNNNNNNNNNNNNNNNNNNNNNNNNNNNNNNNNNNNNNNNNNNNNNNNNNNNNNNNNNNNNNNNNNNNNNNNNNNNNNNNNNNNNNNNNNNNNNNNNNNNNNNNNNNNNNNNNNNNNNNNNNNNNNNNNNNNNNNNNNNNNNNNNNNNNNNNNNNNNNNNNNNNNNNNNNNNNNNNNNNNNNNNNNNNNNNNNNNNNNNNNNNNNNNNNNNNNNNNNNNNNNNNNNNNNNNNNNNNNNNNNNNNNNNNNNNNNNNNNNNNNNNNNNNNNNNNNNNNNNNNNNNNNNNNNNNNNNNNNNNNNNNAGAACCAGCAAGAUCAGUAAAAUCUAGAGCAUUUUUCUUCAUCAUCACCACAGUUCCUUUAACUUUCUUUGAGUCAUCAGGACCACCAAAUAGUCCACCCGUAAUUUGACCAAACAUGAUGAUGAAUAAGAGAAAAAAUUAAAAGUAUAAAAAGAGAUGAUGAGUUUUUGUUGUGAAAAUCCAAUGGAAAUGAGUCUCUUAUUUAUAGCCAAAAAAAAAUACUAGCUAGCAAGAUAAAGAUAUAGACAAAUCCACAUGUUACAUGUUCUUAACUCCUCUCUUUUUUAUUUGUUGUUGUAAUUUUAUAAUAUAUCAUAUUGUAUUGUUUUAGUGAAUAUAAUGUUUGGAUAGAUUGUAUCAUUUUUUGUCGUUAUUUAUUUUUACACACCUAUUAUUUGAAUGAUAAGCCUAUUAUUUGAAUGAUAAUCUUAAAAAAUUAAAUAGGGUAGAGUGAUUAUAAAAAUGUAAGGUAACUAAAGGAAAAACUAAGAUUAUUAAGUAAUAAUUAAAGAUAAAAAUAAGGAGAAAAUAUUAAGGUGAUGAUGAGAUCAUAUCAAAUCAGUAGUUACACAAAAUGAGACUCUUUGUCCUUUACCUAAGGAUGAAUUUAAACUAUGCGAUACAAUAAAAUUUAAAUAAUGAUCAAACCAAACAUUGUAUUUAAACUAAUAAUACAAUACAACAUGUAACAACAAUCCAAACAAGGUGUAAGGGGGUUUGAAAUAUAAAAAUAUGGUGCUUAAGAUUUGAUUUGAACUAGAAAUUUAAGGUGAAUUUUGAACCUCCUCAGUAAAAAAAUGUAGGUUAAAACUAGGGGUGACAAAAUCAAUCUCAGGUAGCCGAACUCAUUUAAGUUUGGACGGAUUAUUGAACAACCUAUUUAUUAGCUCAACUCAAUAACAAUGGAUUGAUGUGUAAGCCCAAAUGAACUAAUGAAAAAUUUUGUCAAAAUAUUUUUUUGAAAGAUUUUUAAAAAAAAAAAUUUGAUUUGUUUUAUAUAUAGCUUGGGAUAUUCAUGGUUCGAUUUGGAAUGGUUAUUGGCGAAAAUCAAAACCAAAUCAAUAAAGUCGGUUUUAAAUUUCUAAAAUCAAAUCACACCAAAUGAAAAAAAUAACCAUCGGUUUGGUUAGUGUCGAUUUUGUUCGGGUUUUGAGGUUUCUUUCACUUUGAAAGUAAUAAAUUUUUGAAGGCAUACACAUCUCAAUAGACACAAAUACCAAGUACAUGAACAAUCCAUAGGAAAGCUACCGUGGACUCAAUUAAACAAUACUAGAGUUAUAAUAUAUAAAUGUACCAUUUAACUUGGCUUCAACUAACAUAUAUAUAUCCUCCAACUUUGGGUGUGCACAAGUAGACAGUUAAACUUGUAUAAAAUUGAACUAGUAGACACACACGUCCUACAUGACAUAAUACACGUAGGACACCAUGCAAGAUAUGAUAUUUCAAUGUAGGACGUCACGUAGGACAUAUGUAUCUAUUUGUUCAACUUUAUACAAGUUUAAGUGCUUACUUACAGACACUCAAAAUUGGAGGGCAUAGUUAUCAACAAAGGCCAAGUUAAAGGGCAUGUUUAUGUAUUGUGUCUUAUUAUUUCACGAACAAAGUGAUUCAAUUAAGAGAAAGUGUGACUAUAUGAUGUGAGGUGUGAUAGGUAAAGACUAUAGUAAUGGAUUUUGAUGGACUUAAGAGUUUAAUAGUUAGACUAAAAUUUAAUUGUUGGGCUUAAGGAAAUGAAAAGUUAAAGACUUAAGUUAAUUAAAAUUUAACAAAAUAUUUAUAUUUUACUUAUGAAUAAUAUUUAAGCAAUUACAAAAUUUAUAUAUAUAUAAUUUCUUGGUUCGAUUUGGUUAUUUUUGGGGGUAUUUUUUUUAGUAUAGCAUGUUAAAUUAUGUCUUAGGCCUAACUCACACUCCAAAAGUUAGCUCAAAGGGAGGAGGAUUGUCCAAGCCUUAUAAUGAGUCCACCCAUCUCGUUAACCACCAAUGUGAGACUUUUGUCAUUUUUUAACACCCCACCUCACGCCCAGUGCUUAGCAUCUGGUGCAUGUGCAAUUUUUCAAUUUUGGGGCCCCCAACAUUGGGUGAAAUGACCCUGCUCUGAUACCCUGUUAAAUUAGGUCUUAGGCCUAACUCACACCCGAAAAGCUAGCUCAAAGGGAGGAGGAUUGUCCAAGCCUUAUAAGGAGUCCAUCCAUCUCAUUAACCACCAAUGUGGGACUUUUGUAGUUUUUUAAGUAAAACCAAAUCAAAUAGUAUCGAUUUUCAAAAUUUAAAACCAAACCUAACUAACCAAACUAAACCACAUCAAAUGUCAAUUUUUUUAGAUCGGUUUGAUUUGGAUUGUGGGUCAGUUUGAUUUUCUAACCAUACUCAUAAACAAUCUAGCCAUAAUAAAGAGAGAUAAUAAUUUUAUUAGGUACUAAAAUCUUAUAAAAAACAAUUAAAUAAUAAAAACUUAGUAAAAAUUGAAUAAUUGAUUUUGAUGCAAACAAAUUUUAAUUGAAAUGGAUCUUAGCUGAUUUGUUGGCUUGAUCCAUUGUAUCCCGUUCAAUUAUAGCUUAAGCCGUUCAAUUAUCACCGCUAAUUAAAACGGAAAAAAUAACAAUUGGAUAAACAAUUGAAAUUGCUUUCUUAUCACGUGUAUAGUCUGAAUUUUAGAUAUGUAGCAUGAAAAUAACUCGUUUGGUGUGUUUUUGCAAGAAUCAUAGUCUAUCGGAAGCAAUAGGUAAGGUGGACAAUGUAUGGCUUCAUUAUUGACUUUAUAAUCUGUGCCAUUUACAGCCUUACUGUAGUUGGAUUAUUUUUAGCACCAUACCAUGUUAAAAAUAGACUACUUAAAUAUGUUAUCAAAUUUUUAGAAAAAAAUUAUUUGUGUUCAAGGCCCAACUAGCAUUCAAACCAUAUCUUUAAAAAUUAUUUUUCAUAUUCCAAUAUCGUCAUAAUCAUACCUUUCAUUUACCACACAUUUUAAAAUCAAUCAUUAUGAGAAGAAGGAAAAGGAGUGGAAGGUCAUAAAAGGGAAGCAUAAGAGAGGAAGUUAUGAAUGCAAUGAAGGACAGUAAAGUCAUAUAAUUUUCAUCCUAGCCACAAAUUCAUCCUUAGACACUUCUAUCUCUAACCUUCUUAUAAUCUCAAGUUCAAUAAGUAAUUAUCUAUUUAUUCUCGAGAAUCAACAAAAUAGUAAGCAUAAGGUUAAGAGAACAUAAACACUACUAAAAAUAAUGAAAAAAGAAAAUUGACUGACUAGAAGAUCAACGGAUAGGUUCGAUCCAAAAAAUUGAGAAAGUAAAACAAGUAUAUAUAGAUCAAGUUUUACAUUAAAAUUAUUUCAAAUCAUACUUUUUGUAGAAUCUAGAAGGCAUAAUACAUAAAUUGGACCCUUAACUUGGCUUCAAAUUAUAACUUUGAUGUCAAUAUACUAAUUUUGAGGGUACAAAUCGUAUCGCAUGCUAUAUUUAAUUAUUUUGCUAAAACGCCUGCAAAUUAAAUUUCUCUCAAUAUGCAUGGACAAAUCUUGAGGGUAGCGAGGAGGUAUACAAAAAAUUACAUGGUAUAUAUAUAAUGAUUUAUUUUUUAUGUAUACAUAUAGAUUUUGAACCUCCUAGCUAGUUGAGGUUGAUACGUAUAAUUAAAAAUAAUAUCAUUUUUUUAUUUAGUUAACAUAAAAAUACAUAUUUUUUUCUUUAAAAAAGUUGAGGUAUUAGCUUGAAAUAUAACUUUAGUUCAAUUUGAAAAGACUAAAAGAAAUAAAUAUUUAAGCGAGGACGGAGAGGGUUAAUUUAAUUUGUAUUAAAUGGAAUAAUGGAUAGUUGUAUUAAUAAUAUCAUCAGUUUCACCACGAAAUAAAUGCAUGCAUCCGAUAGUCGUCACUUAUUUAGGGGGCGAUAAAUAAUUAAGCGGUUUGACAAAUUAACAAAAGAUAAUAUUUUUUAUUUAUUAUAUCUUUAAUUUAUUUAGAGAGUUACUAUUUUUGAAUAAUGUAAAACCUCUUUAAUGAAUAAAUUGAUUUUGAAAUUCUAUCAACUAAUAGAGGUAAAAUAAUAAACUAACUAUGUUAAUUAUUAUUUUCUUAAUAGGUGCAUCAAGUAAAAGAAUGAACAAAUAAAUAGUAACAGAGGAAGUACAAAAUUUCACUCUGAGGUUUAAAAAAUUCAUUCUAAAGCAUAAAAAUUUUCUUAAAAUUUGCUCACUUUUUUCAGGUAUGAAAACUAUACAAAAUUUGUAUGAAAUCGCCCAACAUUUUGAUUUUUUUUCACAAUUUUAUUAUUAACUCUAUAUGAAUAUAUAUGGAUUUUUAUAAAGUUCAUAUUAAAUUUUUGAAAAAAAACAACACACACAUAACUCAUUACUCAUGUAUGAAAUCUGUUUAUAAGCGUAUAAAUUUUAUGUUAGUUUCUGAAAAUUUAACAUAACUAAACGUCAUAAAAUACAUUUUUCAUACCAUUCAUUGUAAAUUUUAAGAUACUUUUGAUAUAAAUACUAAAUGUAACUUCAAACUUCAAUAAACUAAGACUAAAAUUUAAUUCAAAAUUAGCUCAAAUCUUAUCUAUAAAUAGCCCCAAAACUUAUAUUCGAGAGAUAUCACCUACUCAAAAAUAAAAUUUAUUUGCGAUAAAUUAAUUUAUCAACUUGAGCUUCAAAUCCCUUUAAUAAUUGACGUUGGUAUGAUUUGGAAUUUAUACAUAUUUUAUUAACUCCUUUUUUAAAAAAAAAAUCAAAUAGUAACCAAUCAGUGUGAUGAAAUAGAAGCCAAAGAUGCUAUUGAUUUUAUACGUAUUUUAUUAACUUUUGAAUAAUUUAACUUGUGAGUUUCUUUCUAAAUAUUUUAUUAAGAAAAAAGGAAAACUUAUGGCAUUAUUGAGGGUUCAUAGAUAGUGGAUCAAAUUGUAGGUAUAGAAAAAUUAAGUGAAAAUUUUAUAAAUGACAAAUAUUAGACUAAUAUUUUUAAGUUGUAGCAGUAGAAUAUAACUUUCAAGUUGUAAAAUUAAAAUUUUUUAGGUUGUAACAUUUUUUUAAAAAAAAAAGAUUUUUAAGUAAUUGUAAAAAUCUAUUUUGUAAAAAAUAAAAAGAUAAAAAAGGAAAAUAAAAUGAUUUUGAAUAAAAAAAAAGAAGGGAAAUAGGAGUAUUAAUUAAAUUUGAAUUGAUUGAUGAUAAUUUUUAAUUAGCAUAAAUUAAGGAGAUUCAAACUGAUUAGGAAUAUUUAUCUUCCUUAAUUCACUCUAAUUUAUUAAAAUUAAUAAAAAAAUCUGAUUUAUCCAUUUUCUUCAACGUUUCUCUCUCUUCGUUUUUUUUUGUUUGAAAAAUCUUCAUUUUGUUGUGAUGGACGACUCCUUAUCUAUAUUAAUUAAACAUGGUGGAAGAUGGGAUCCUUCAGGUUAGUAUUGUUUAUGAUUUAUUGUUUGUAUUUGUAUAUUACUAAAAUAUAUAAUAAAUAAAAAAGAGCGAUGAAAAUGUAAAUCACAUUUUGUAAUUUUAUUUUUGUAUACUAUAUUUAAGUUGUGAUGUUCUUUUGUAUAAAUCAACCAUUUAGUUCAUAAUACGUACUAAUUUAUGUGAAGCUGUAAUUAAUGACAUUCUAUGAUUUUGUUAGUACGUUUCUAUUUUAUUUUUUUUGGUUAUUUUGUAUAUUGACUAUAUCAUGAUUUCGUGCAAAAUUGGCUUAAUAUAUGAAUGAUUUGAUUAUAAAUGUAUAGAAUAUUAAUAGUUUUAUCGUUGUAAAGUUAUGAAAUUUAUUGUAACAUUGUUAUGAAAUUGGAAUUUCUUUAGUCAAUUUGAUAAUAAUAAUGAGAGGGAUUCGGUAUGCAGAUUUAAAUUAAUCUAUGGAUUACUGUUUUAAAAAAUAUAUAUAAAUAAAAUGUAUAAGCUGGAAUGAAUUUGAUAUAGUAACUGAAAUGAUAUUGGUAUGAAAAUGUAUUUACUUUUGUGUAAAAAAUAUGAGUAAGAAGUAUGAUGAUUUGUAUGAAAAGUGUAUUAAGUCGGUAUGAAAUGUGAAAUGUUAUUUUUUAUAUAAUGUGUUUUAUGGUAUGGAUUCUUGUAUACUGUUUGGAAUGAUAUUUGUAUGAAUAAAUAAUGACUAUUGUGUGUAAUUUUGUGUGAAUAGAAUGAAAUUGGUAUGAAAAAUUAUACUGUAUUGUGUAAAAAAAAAAUGAGCAAGAAGUAUGAUUAUUUGUAUGAAAUGUGUAUUAAGUUGGUAUGAAAUGUGAAAUGUUUUUUUUUUAUGAAAUCUUUUUUAUGGUAUGAAUUUUGGUAUACUGUCUGAAUGAUAUUUGUAUGAAUAAGUAAUGACGAGUGUGUGUAAUUUUUGUGUGAGUAGAAUGAAGUUGUGGAUUAAAUUUGUAUUAUCUUUGGUACGAAAAGUUAAUAUAAAUACAACAUAUUUAUAAUUGCUUUGUAUUAUGUAAGACUAACUGUUAUUUUUUUUAAUGAAACAGGAAAAUAUCUUGAGUGUGUGUAAUUUUUUUGUGAGUAGAAUGAAGUUGUGGAUUAAAUUUGUAUUAUCUUUGGUAUGAAAAGUUAAUAUAAAUACACCAUAUUUAUAAUUGUUUUGUAUUAUGGAAAACUAACUGUUAUUUUUGUUUAAUGAAACAGGGAAAUAUGUUGUUUUUCAGAUGGAGGGGAUUAUCUAUGAAUCUUCUAGUUUGUAUAGUGGUCUAGUAAGUGCAAUAAAAUUGCAGCUUAUGAUAGAUAUUAAUAUUAAUGAUAUAGAGAUAAAAUAUAUAGUUAGUGAUCGAUGUCCACCUGUUAGUAUAAAAUAUAUAAAAAAAUUAUUUUGUUUGUCUUUUAGACUCAUGUUUUGUUUUGAUAUGAAACAGAAUUGGCAUGAAAUGCAUUACAGCUAAGUGUUUAAUAUAUUGUUCAUGUUUUAUACAAGAUUCAUUCAUUAAUCAUACAAAUUGCAUACUGCUGGAAAUAAAAUUCAUUCCAGUUUAAUAUAUAAGAUAGUGUUCAUAUUAGUGAUAAUUAUAUAAGGUAAUUAUGGUAUGCAUUUGGUAUCCUAAUAGCAGUUGAUAUUAUUUAAUGUAAGUUUAUAUGAGUAUCAAUUUGGUAUCCAACUGGUGUCCUACUCUAAAUCAAAAUAAAACAAGAUGUAAUUAAUGAUGGUGCAAAAGUUAAUGAUCGUUGUUUUAGAUUGCCAGAUUCGUUUCUUCCAGUAUUUAUACAAAUUGUAUAUCAAUUUCAUACAUCUUUAAAGUACUUAAUACAUGCUUGUUAAGAGAAUAUAAUUUACAAUUAGUAAUAAUUUGGUAUCCAUUAGGUGUCCAACUUGAAUAAAUAUAAAACAAGAUGUAAUUGAGGUUGUUACAAAAUACAAUAAUCACUAUUUUACAUUGGCAUAAUCAUAUCUUCAAGGUAUUUAUACAGGUUGGAUACCAACUUCAUUCAUUUUUUAUUUUUUUAUUUUUUGUGUUAGAAUAUGAAGUAAAAAAAUCAAUCAUGAAUGAAUUUGGAUGCCAUAAGUGUAGAGUUGGGAUACCAAUUAUAAGACAAAGUUGGUUUAUGAACUAUAAAUUGGUAUUCUUUUUAUUUCUAGUUAGUAAUACACAGUAAUAUCAAUAAGUCUAAAUGUUGAAUCCAAUUGGUAUACAGUUUGUAUAUAACUGUCAUCUCGAAAACUAUUAUACUCAAUGUGUAAUAUAGCUUCCAAAUGGUGUAUUCAAAUGGUAUACAGUCUGUAUAUUACUAGUAUCCUGAAAUUACGGAAAAGGGUCAAAAUUGCCCCUGAACUAUGCGAAAUAGACCACUUAUACCCUUCAUUACAUUUUGGGAUCAAAAAUACCCCCCCAGUUAUCUCAGGAGACCACAAAUAUCCUCAAGAGUUAACACCCCAAUUUUUUAGUGACGUGGCAAGCCACAUGGGACUAAUCCCUCCACCUAAGCAUUGCCAACUAAGAUUCACUACAAAAGAACUUGACCUUUAGUGGCGANNNNNNNNNNNNNNNNNNNNNNNNNNNNNNNNNNNNNNNNNNNNNNNNNNNNNNNNNNNNNNNNNNNNNNNNNNNNNNNNNNNNNNNNNNNNNNNNNNNNNNNNNNNNNNNNNNNNNNNNNNNNNNNNNNNNNNNNNNNNNNNNNNNNNNNNNNNNNNNNNNNNNNNNNNNNNNNNNNNNNNNNNNNNNNNNNNNNNNNNNNNNNNNNNNNNNNNNNNNNNNNNNNNNNNNNNNNNNNNNNNNNNNNNNNNNNNNNNNNNNNNNNNNNNNNNNNNNNNNNNNNNNNNNNNNNNNNNNNNNNNNNNNNNNNNNNNNNNNNNNNNNNNNNNNNNNNNNNNNNNNNNNNNNNNNNNNNNNNNNNNNNNNNNNNNNNNNNNNNNNNNNNNNNNNNNNNNNNNNNNNNNNNNNNNNNNNNNNNNNNNNNNNNNNNNNNNNNNNNNNNNNNNNNNNNNNNNNNNNNNNNNNNNNNNNNNNNNNNNNNNNNNNNNNNNNNNNNNNNNNNNNNNNNNNNNNNNNNNNNNNNNNNNNNNNNNNNNNNNNNNNNNNNNNNNNNNNNNNNNNNNNNNNNNNNNNNNNNNNNNNNNNNNUUAAUUGUACAAUUUGGAUACACACUGAUAUUUUAAAAUAGUGAAUCCAAAUGGUAUGAAGUCUGUAUAUUACUAGUAUCCUAAAAUUAUAAUAGUCAAUCAGUAAUUCAUAUGUAGAUGGUAUCUAACUGGAAUAAAACAGUGGAUAUUAUAUAUCAUCAAAUACUGAAACACAAAAAUAUUGUCCAAAAGUUAAAAAAAAAACAUGUAAUUCUAAAAAGUAGAAGGUGCAAUCAACUAUCUCAAAUUUCUUUUCUGUGGUCUUGGAUUUCUUUUCCAUGGUCUUGGUGUAGGAUAAUUGCUGGUAUCCGGAGCAUGUUCUUUUGCUAUGCGAGGUCCACCAAAUUUGCUAGCAACCGUACCAGUUACUUCACUCUCACUGAUCGCGACAUCCUCAUUCUUUGUUUUUCCAUAAUGUCAUAUGAUUGUGGCAUAUCUUUGACGAUGGUACUUUGCAUCGAUAUCAACAGAACACAUAUCAAAAACACAAUUACUGAUGUAUUCAACAAAUAGACAUGUGUACAAACCACAAUCACUGAUAAAAUUUAAAACAAAAAUCAUUUUAAGAAAUAAAUUAAGUUAACUUUUCUGAUGAAAUCAGUAAAGUAUAGAAAUACAUACUUGGAACUAUCUUCUUGUUGAGGCACAUGCAUCAUAUGAAUAAUAUGAAAAUAAAUUAAAUAUAGUACUUACCCUAACAACUUUUUGCCUUUUUGGAUAUUGGAAUUUCUGAUUCCUUCUUUUUUGUUGUUCUUCUUGUUGAUGAUUUAAAAGAUUGAACAACUUCUACAUCUAUUGCUUUUUUUGUUUUUUUGUUUUCUUUUUUAUUUCACUAACAAAAUCAGAAUCAGUAGGAGUUUCUACAAUUUUCCCCUUCCUCUUCUUUUCCUUUUGAUUUGCCGGACUCACCCUUUUCUUUGCUUCGUUUUUUUCUCAUUUUGAUCCUUAAAGUGAGAGGAACCACCCUUUGCCGGAGUUUCAACAUUUUUUGGCGGCGGGGUUUGAGUCAAUAUAUUGAAAGUUGGAGCAUGUACUUCAUCCGUAGAAGUUCCUUCAACUAAUUGAGGACUCUUUCGAGGCGUUACAAUGAUUUUCUUUGACAUGAUGAUGAUGAGAAACGGAAUGAGCGGGGUGAUUGUGAAGUUGGGGUAGUGGGGUGGUGAGAAAGGUGGGAGAGACGAUUGUGAAUGUGGGUAGUGGAGUGGUGAGAAAGAUGGGAGGGACGAUUACUGUAGUAUUGGAUAGGCGUGGGGGAUCAAAUUAAUUAACUAUUAAUAAUUAAUAAUAUAAAAAUGUAAAGAGAUUAUUCAUUUAUUAAAUUAAAUCAUAAUUGAUUUUUAAAUAAACUUAAAUUUAAUUGAUAUGUUAUAACCCGUAAAUAAACUGUUAUAGGUAAGAAUUUUUUAAGAGUAUUUUUAAAACCCGUAAUAUUGUCUCUUAAAUGUGUAUAUGGUGUAAUUUUUCCAAAAAUUAAUGCUCUUUACCAACAUGUUUUUAAAGAAUAUCAAUCUUUUGUUAGGUUAUGACAAAAAUAAAAUGAUUAUGCAAUAAUAAUAAUAGGAAAAAUCUUUUUGACCAUAAAAAUUUGGCCAUAAUUUUGUCAGAAUGGUAAAAGGACAUUUUCACACUAUAAACUAGUUUGUUUUUGGACAUUUUUGCCCUUUAACUCAAAUAUUAAAUAUAUUCUUCAAUUGUGUUUUCAAUGCAUUGAAAAUGAUUGAUGAGAUUAAUUAUUUUAUGAUUUUCAUAGUUAAACAUUAAAAAUGAACCGCAAAAUCCACCAAAGAAAACAUAAGUUUCACCCACUCUUCUCUCUUGUAAAUUUUCAAGAUACUAAAAAAAAAAAUUGUUUUAAAAAAAAUUAAAAAUGUAAGCGUAGUAGUAAAAAACUACAUAAUAAAAAAAGUAGUAAAAAAUAUAUCUCUUUUUCAGUUUCAAAAAGUCCUCCUUUUUACUUAUUCUUUUUUUGUUUAUUUAUUUUCCAUUUCUUAUUUCUUAAUGAUAAAAAGAGAAUUUAAAAAGUAUAAAAGAGGAGUAAAGUGUAGAUGAUCUAUUUUAGUUUAUAAUUUCUAAUCUAGAAAAGAUAAAUUAUAUCUAAAUUUAAAUAUUAAAAAUUUAUAUCUAUAAUACUCAAAAUUAAAAAAUUUAAAUUGAUCGAGUUGGCAAAACAAUUACUCCUAUUUAUUUCAAGAAGUUGUUGUUACACAUCGAUUUCUAGAAAGAAGUUAAAUAAUAAAAAUAAAUUUUAUUUGAUUAUAUUUAGAAUGUAUGUGAGCGAAAUAUGAAGAAAAUUGAAACUAUAAUAAUGUUUCUCUUAUUAUGUGAGUGUCUUCAUAUCCUCGAUCGUAUAUGAAUCAUAUCAUACACAAAUAAAGACUCAUUAAAAUUAUUUUUUUUUAAUUUUAGUACUAGAGACGUAUACAAAUAUUUUUUUGGAUAAAAAUAUUGAUGGCGCUUCAUUGAAAAAUUAUAAUAACACGGAAAAGAUAUAGAAAGUUCUUUAUGAUUUCAAAAUAAACUUUACUAAAAAAAUUUGAAAGAAAAACAUCUUCAUAGUUCUCCGAUGAUAAUGACAACACAAAUUUGUUAAGCAUGAACUAUCAAAAUUUCAUAACAUAUAUAUUUUUCUUUAUUAGUAUUAUUUUUUGUUUUAUUAAAAAAUGUUUGUUAUUAAAUGAUAUGUUAUAGUCAUAAUAUUAAUAUUAUUUUUCCGUCAAAUUAAUAUUAUUUUGAAACUGAUUGUGAAUUUUUAUAAUUAAGUAAUUUUAUUGUAUUUAUUAUAUAAAUAAAUUUAAAUUACAUAAUUAAAUUACAUUUUACAUAAUUUUUUAAAUAUAUGUAAAAUAAUUUAAUAAUAACAGUCAAAACUCAAAACACUCUAGUUCAUAUGUAUCAACUCUAGAUAACAAACCAAAAGAGCCAAAUAUUGUAGUCUUGUUGUGCCCCUAUGUUAUGUUAAUUUGAUGAUUUGAGAAUCAUUACUUAUAUUUGUUACUAAUAUGAGCUCUAAUUAGGUAAUUGUAGUAAUUAUUAGUAUGUUAAAAAAAUUAAGCUAUGCAUAAAAAUAAAAUAUAAUUUGAAAAUAUUUCAAUAAUGACAAUCAAAACUCAAAGUACUUUAGAAUUAGUAUACAUCGACACAUUAUAGAAAUACUUAAAAUAUCAUAUGGUUCAUAAGCGACGAUCCUAUUUAACAAUAACCAAAGAUAGUUACACAUAAUGUUGUAGUUUUGCAUAUUUGCUAAUUAUUAUGUUUUAAAAAUUAAACUACAUAUUUAAAUAAUUAAGUGAUAUCCCUAGUUAACAACAAGCUAAGAGUAUUUCAAAAAAAAAACAAGCUAAGAGAGUGUUUACGCAUUAAUGUUAUAGUCUUGCGCCUCUAUAUUAUAUCGACUUGAUAACUUAUGAUUACUGAUACUUGCUAUUAAUAUGAGCUCUAAUUAAAUAAUUAAUGAAUUGUUGUGUUUAAACAAAUUUAAUUUAUAUAUUACUAUUUUUUUAAUAUAAUCUGAAAAUAUUACAGUAAAAACAGUCAAAACUCAAAACAAUUUAUAGAGAUCAAUAUAUUUUAAAAAUCAUAAGAUUCAUAUUAUAACUUAUAAGUAUCAAUCCUACCUAAUUACACUAAAUAUUUGUAUACUAUAUAUGUUCAAUUAAAAAUAGACCCUCUAUAUUUUGAAAUCAAACAUUCACAUCUUCUAUAUUAUAAAAAUCAUACAAUUUUUAUCCACCAAUAAUGUUAUUUCUAAUUUCCUAAAAAAAAUAUAAAUAUUGUAUAGAAUGAAUGUUCUACGUAAAUGAAAUUCUAUCUAACUAAUUAUAUAUACAUAAUUUUAAAGCAAGAAAAUAAAUAAAAGGAAAUUAUAUAUAAUAAAUAUUACAUUUAAAUAAAAUUAUAAAUAAUGUACGUAUUUAAAUUAAAAGAAAGUUAUUACUAACCGUUGAUAUAUCUUAUUAACUAAUUUGUAUCACUUAACAUUUUAAAAAAAUAUUAAUUAUUUUUAAAUCAAAUGCAUGAAUGAAAAUUUUAUUUCCAUUUUAAAAUUUUGUUAGAAUAAUUUCACAAAAACUAUAUUUUUAUAAUUUUAGUUUAUCGUUUAAUAAUUUAUUUUAAUAUAUUUAGUUAUAGAUAAACUCAUUGAAAGUGUGAGUAUAGAAUUUUCACACUACAUGAAGCGUAAGUGUUUUAUUUUAAAAUAUGAAUAGUGUAUUUAAAAUUGAAUUAUAAUAUAAUUUUUUUAUAUAUAUUAAUUAUUUAUAUACAAAAAAAUAUGAAAUUAAAUCUCAAAAAUAGUGUUUUUUCUGUUAUCUUAUAGAGUUGCUUUAUUGGAGACAUAAAGUAGAUAUUUAGUAUUGUUAGUUUCUUUUUUAAUUUACUCCACAUUUUUUAUUUUAUUUUUAAAAAGAUCCAGGAGAAUUAAAAAAAAAAGAUAAGGUAAAGAAGUAGAAUGACGAAAAAUGAAUUUGACGAAGAAACAAAACUGUGAAAUAUUUUAUUAGGUGGGACUCAAAACAUUAAUCUUAUCAAAUUAAUAAAUGCUUUAUACAAUUUACUAGAAAAGAGCAAGCCUUAAUUUGAAGGAAAAAGGUUAUAACUGUCUUUUCAAAAUUCUGGCCAAAUUCUUGCCAAAAUUUUCUGACUGUUUAGCAUCAAUAAUAAUAAUAAUAAUAAUAUUAAAAUGACAAAGAAAUUAAUAUAGUCAAAGAAGUUGAAGAAGAAAGGUUUUAUUUCUUUUUAAAAAAAGUCAUAUUUGUGCAUGUACUUUGAAAAAAAAGUUUAUAUUUAUCUCUCAUAGUACUUUUUUGAUAUAUUUAUUCUUAUCAUCCAACUUUAAGUUCUUAUUUAUCUUUGAAUAAUUAAAUUUCAUUUUGUUUAACUCUUAUUAUCCUACGUGACACCUACAUAAAUAUAUUUUUAUUGAUGCUUACCUUUUUCUAUGGAAAAGUGACUAGGCAAAUAUGGUACUAGGAAUGGAUUUAAUGGGUUAGAUGUGUGGGUAUAAUAAUUAUAUUGGAAGCAAGUUUUAAUUGUGAUAAAAAUAUAUUUAUGUAGGCAUCACGUAGGAUAAUAAAAGUGGAGACAUGAGACUUAACAAUUCAAUGAAAAUUAUGAACUCAAAGUUGGAUGGUACAAAUAAAUAUAUAUUAAAAAAAAUAUAACCGAAGGUAAAUAUAACUUUUUUCUAAUAGUAUAAGGACAAAUAUGACACUUUUUCAUUUUCUUAAAACUUAGUUAGGCAUUUGGAGAUACGAUUUCAUCUGAUGAUUUGAAAUCAUGAGAUCAAAUCAGGGUUUGGACAUGUGAUUUUUCCAUCUCAUGAUUUCAAAUUCAUGAGAUGAAAUCCCGAAUUUUCCAAAUAGUUUAAUUCAAAAUUUUCAUAUCAUGACUUCACAUUUUUCAAAUACAAAAGUUGGCCCAUAAAUAUAUAUUUUAUAAAAAAAUUAUUGUUUUUCAUCUACAUAAAUUUUUUUGCGAGAAUAUAACCAAAGGAGUGAUGAAACAUAAGCAAAAUAUGAACAUGUUGAUACAUUUACUAAUGAUAUUAAUCAUGUUCAUUUUUAUAAAAGAGUAGUACACUAUAAUUUAUGUUCCAUUUUUAUAAAAAGUAAUAUACUACAACUCAUGUUCAAAUUUAUCUUUUUAAUGAAUUAAAAUUCGAUCAAUAAAUGUUACAUAUUUUAGAAUAACUUUUGACAAUGCAUUAUACUUUUAUUUUGAACUUUUGCUUAUUAGGUAAGAUUGUAUAAAAAUUGAAACAAUUUUGAUAGUUUUCACAACUUAUGAAUUUUUUAUAUUUACGAGUAAAAUAUACAACUUAAAAUUUCAAAUUACAUGUUCAAACUAUUGAAGGUAUUAAAGGAGUCACUUAGAUAGAUAGGUAAGUGAUAAGAAGUUAGUUACUAUAUUAACUAACUUCCUGAAAGGUUAGUUAUUUUAACAGCUGUUAGUUAGUUAGGAUUAGGGUAGUUUUGAAGUCUAUAUAAAGUUGUAUUUGUAAGCCUAUUAAAGGCAUUGUGGUUGAUGAGAAUAACAAGAUAAACUCUCUUAAUUCUUCUUCUUCUUCCUCACUUCUUCUCUUCUUCUCUUAGAUGUUCUUCUUUACUUUACAUACUUUCUCAUAUAGUUUCAUGGUAUCAGAGCAGUCAACUAGAUAAUCUGGUUGAAAGAAUCGAUCUCUACUCUGGUUGAAAGAAUCGUUCUGUAACGCAGAUCGAAAAUUGUUCAAUUCUGUUGGAAGAACUGGUCAAAUUCUCUGAACAUCCUCUAUUGUUACAAUGAUAGUGGAAGCACGACAAUCUACACAGGCUCAAUCUGUUCAAUCCGGUCAAAAGACUGGUGUCGACUACAAUCAUCCUUUGUUUCUUUCUCAAUCUGAUGUAAGUGGUACACAGAUUAUUUCGUUUCAACUAGCAGGGGUUGAAAAUUACUCAAUAUGGUAUAGAUCUAUGAGGGUAGCCUUGCUUGGAAGGAAUAAAUUGAGAUUAGUUGAUGGUUCCUGCAAGAAAGAAGCAUUUCCAGAGGAGAUGGGGAAUCACUAGGAAAGAGUAAAUAUAGUAGUAUUGUCUUGGCUGAUGAACUCAGUGGAAAAAGGGUUGUUGGGAGGUAUAAUGUAUGCUUCUAAUGCCUAAGAAGUAUGGGAGGACCUAUUCGAAAGAUUCAACAAGAUUGAUGGUUCAAGAACUUACAAUUUACACAAGGAAAUUGCUACAUUAAGUCAAGGUACUGCUAUAGUUUCUGCAUACUUUUCUAGGUUGAAAAACUUGUGGGAAGAGUUUGAAGCUCUUGUCCCUAGUCCCGGUUGUAACUGUGAAAAAUCAAAAGACUUUGUAAUACAUCUUUAGAAGUUAAAGUUGUUUCAGUUUCUCAUGGGACUAAACGACUCCUAUAAUCAAGCAAGAAGUCAGAUCUUACUUAUGAGUCCUAUGACAACUGUUAAUUAGGCGUAUGAAAUGGUUAUUAGUGAUGAAGGACAAAGGUCUAUAGUAGCAAAUUCUGGAAUCGUGGGUGCAAAUCCUGCUUCAAGUGGUAGUAAUUUUGAUAUGGCCAUGUUUACCAGAAAUGGUUCUACAAGAUACAAGAAAAAAUUCAAUGUACAAUGUGAUUUCUGUAAAAUGAAAGGACAUACCAAAGAAGUGUGUUACAAGUUGGUGGGAUACCCAUCAGAUUAUAACAAGUUUAGAAAGAAAGGAGGACAGGCAGGGAGUAAUGGUUAUAACACAAGUGCAAGGGCUCAUAAUGUGAUCACUGAUAAUCAUUUUCAAGAAUCAGAACAAUGUGAUAUGAUGGGUGAUACAAGUGAGAAUGUAGCAGAAGGAACUAUGUCAGAUUACAAAGGCAAAAGUAUGGAAUAUUCUUCACAAAACAAAAAGACUGAGAUGGGGUUGUAUCCAUUUACUAAGGAGCAAUAUAAUUAGAUCGUUCAUAUGUUGAAGAAUAUUGGAGACAACAGUGCUACUACAAACCCUAUGUCUUCAGCAAACUUAGCAGGUAUUAACCAGGCUAGUGUUUACUCAGUUAAAAAUAUACAAGAGUGGAUAGUAGACACUGGAGCUACCAACCAUAUGGUAGCUGAUGUAAGCUUGUUAGAUAAACCUUUUAUAGUGUCUAAAGAAGUGUAUUUACCUAAUGGAAAUGUUGCUAAAGUCACUCAUAUUGGAACUAGUAGUGUUACUGCAAAGACAUCUUUGACUAAUGUGCUGCAUUUGCCUCAAUUCAAGUUCAAUUUGAUGUUUGUGUCAAAACUCACAAAAGAGUUAGGAUGCUCAGUAAGUUUCUUUCCUGAUUUUUGCUUGUUUCAAGAUCUCUCCAAUGGAAUGGUGAGGGAGACUGGUAGAGAGGAGAAUGGGCUGUAUAUUCUGACUGGAAGUUCAAAAAUACUGCAGUCUCAAAGCAAUGGUUGUGUUUGUACUGUGAAAGGAAAUCAUAUUCAUAAGAAGUCUGAAGAUGUGGAACUAUGGCACAAAAGGCUUGGGCAUGUAUCCACAAAGUCAUUGAACAAGAUUUUGUCAAUAAAGGUUGAGUGUGUAGCAAAUACACUGCAUAAUUGUACUGUUUGUCCUUGUGCAAAACAAGUUAGAAAUUUUUUUCCUACAAGUAGUAUACAAACUUCAGCAUGCUUUGAUCUUGUACACAUGGAUGUUUGGGGUCCUUACAAAGUAACUACAUUUGAUGGUAAUAGAUUUUUUCUCACUAUGGUUGAUGAUUUUUCAAGGAUAACUUGGGUUUACUUAUUGAAAUUAAAGUCUGAUGUUUGUGUAGUCAUUAAACAGUUUAUUCAGUAUGCUAAAACUCAGUUUGGUAGGUCUGUUAAGGUCAUCAGGUCUGAUAUUGGUACUAAAUUUGUCAACUUAGUGUGUAAGGAAUUGUUCAACAAAUUUGGCAUAGUUCAUCAGACAAGUUGUGUCUAUACUCCUCAGCAAAAUGGGGUAGCUGAGAGAAAACAUAGGCACUUGUUAGAGGUAACAAGGGCCUUAAGAUUCCAAGCUGAAAUACCUAUUAGAUUAUGGGGUCUGUGUGUGUUAGCUGUUGUACACAUAAUUAAUAGAUUACCUAGCUCAGUAUUAAAAAAACAAGUUUCCAUAUGAGGUGUUUUAUAACGAGAAACCAUUAUUUCACAUUUAAGAGUUAUUGGAUGUCUCUGUUAUGCAAAGGUAGUACAAGAGCUUGAUAAGCUAAGUCCAAGAUCAAAAAUGACAGUUCAUAUGGGAUAUUCAAUGACUCAAAAAGGGUAUAUCCUUUAUGAUCUAGAAACAAGGAAGGUGUUUGUUAGCAGGGAUGUUAUGUUUAGGGAAAAUAUUUUUCCUUUUAAAACAAACACUAGUGUGUCAUGUAACAUAUUGUAUGUUCCUUGUGAUAUUGAAUAUGGUGGAGAUGAAUGUCACACCCCGAGCCUACACCCUGGGCGGGACUGGCACCCGGAGAUCAUUGCUGGCCCCAAGCGAACCCUUGGCCUGGGUUUCUUAACUCAGCGGAAACCUAACACAACAGAAUAACUCAAUGCCAUGCAAAGACAUAAAACAACUUAACAAUAAAAUCUGGCCCAAAAGGGCAACUCGAGUCUCAAAAUAGAAUAUUUACAUAUAUACAUAGAUGAGAGACUCAAAACUAACUGACUGACUGUCUAUGAAGCCUCUAAAAUACUGAGAUGGAUGUUGGGACAGACCCCGCAACAUCCUAAUAAAACAAACUAGGAACACAAAAAUAUCUGAGUCCUCCGGAAAGCAAGGAGGCUCACCACUGACGCNNNNNNNNNNNNNNNNNNNNNNNNNNNNNNNNNNNNNNNNNNNNNNNNNNNNNNNNNNNNNNNNNNNNNNNNNNNNNNNNNNNNNNNNNNNNNNNNNNNNNNNNNNNNNNNNNNNNNNNNNNNNNNNNNNNNNNNNNNNNNNNNNNNNNNNNNNNNNNNNNNNNNNNNNNNNNNNNNNNNNNNNNNNNNNNNNNNNNNNNNNNNNNNNNNNNNNNNNNNNNNNNNNNNNNNNNNNNNNNNNNNNNNNNNNNNNNNNNNNNNNNNNNNNNNNNNNNNNNNNNNNNNNNNNNNNNNNNNNNNNNNNNNNNNNNNNNNNNNNNNNNNNNNNNNNNNNNNNNNNNNNNNNNNNNNNNNNNNNNNNNNNNNNNNNNNNNNNNNNNNNNNNNNNNNNNNNNNNNNNNNNNNNNNNNNNNNNNNNNNNNNNNNNNNNNNNNNNNNNNNNNNNNNNNNNNNNNNNNNNNNNNNNNNNNNNNNNNNNNNNNNNNNNNNNNNNNNNNNNNNNNNNNNNNNNNNNNNNNNNUAAUCUGAAAAGGGUUCAUCUAAAAAGUAUGACCCGUUAAAUCCCAUGUUUGGCUACAUGGUUCUUAUGGAGAGUUGAGUUAAUAUGAACUCGCGUCUCCAAUUCGGUGCUCAAUACUACUCCCAAAAAUAUUUUGGCUCAUAAGUGUUUUAAACACAAACUUCUUUCUUUUAGUUUGAGAUAAUUGCUCAAAACUUAGCCCAAAGGCUCUUUUGGAAAUCAUAGUUCCUUUCUUACUUCAAAUGUAAAAACAUUUAUAAACUUCUUUGGGAAUACUUAGUUCCCUAAUAACUUUUGAGAAAUGGACUCAACUUUAUACUCUUGACUUAACUUAGAACUCUAUACUCUUUACUUAACUUGAAACUCAAUACUCUUUACUUAAAUUGAAACUCUAUACUCUUUACUUAAAUUGAAACUUGAGCCUUGAAAAAAGUUAAAAUGUUCAAUAAAGACUCUUGAAAAAAACUUUAAAGACUUGCUUCUUAACUUUUAAACUAGACUCUAACUUCACUUGACUUGGAUCCUAACUUUCUUGAAUUGAAUUAUGGAUUCAAGAGUAAUGAUUUGGGUUUGAAAGGACCCCAUGAUGUUUAGGAAUAAUUUAGGACAGCUAAACUUAAGAAGAAUUACGAAAUUAACUUCUGAAAACGGUGGAGUCCGCGUCCUGUCCGCAACGCGGAGCAGAUUUCACAAGAAUUCAACUAUCACAACCCAACAACUUCAACAACACAACCAAUCUUUUCUCGGAAAUAAAACGAGUUUGGCGUGUGGGGGAAAGAACCAACCCAACACUAUGAACUCACAUACCUUAAUAGGGAUCACCCCCGACGAAAACCACGACGAUCUUGACGAAAUCCUUGCUUCUUCUUCUCUUUCUCCUCUUCUUUCUCUCUUCUCUCCAAAACCCUAACUCUCACUUUUAAAAAGGGAAAACUGAUUUAAAAUCAGUCUAACACCUCAAUAUAACCAAAAGAAUUGGCUAGGGAAAAGACCAAAAUACCCUUAAAAUUUUCGGACUAAACUGCCCUGUGCGACUGUGCCAACAGCCCAACUUCCAAAGGGCAUAACUCACUCAUACGAACUCGGAAUCGAGCAAACUCAGCGGUGUUGGAAAGAUCAUUCCAAGGGAUUUCCAGACAUAACUGGAAAUUCACCUAAAUCAUUCUGAUCAAGUAGUUAUGACUGUUUGAAGUUGACAAAAAAAAACUAAUUUUUUUCCCAUACUUAACUAAAUUUCCAGAUUCUAACUUCUUCAAAAAAUGACUAAUUCCAAUUAUAAACUUCUUCAUAGUUAUUUCAAAUUGCAACACAUCACAAAGAAUUCUCGUCAUGAAUGGACUUUCCAAACGGUAAUAUUAGUGGACGACGAGGUAAUAGCUUUGCUUAGGUUAUAUGCUAACAUUCUUAUCUACUCCCUAUAUUACUUUUCUAAUCAACUCAUAUGUCAAUUACAUCAAGCAAUGAAAUACCUGAAGGAGUUGUGGUACAUGGAGGUACAACACCUCAAAAUCUGGUCCAAAGCUCACAGAAGAAACUAGACCAGCAGAAGUUCCUGUGGUACCAGUCAGUGGUCUAAGAAGGUCUGUGAGAGACAAAAAUCCUCCUGUUUGGUUAAAAGAUUUUGUUUCUCUAAGUGUGAAUGAAACAGUAGCUUAUCCUAUGUCCAAGUAUAUUGCUUAUGAUCAUUAGGCACCCAAGUAUCAAGCCUAUGUUACUGCUUUCUUUGCAUACACUGAACCUAGUAGUUAUUGUGAAGCCACCAAAGAUCCUAGGUGGGUGGAGGCUAUGAAGGAAGAAAUUAGUGCAUUACAACAAAAUAACACUUGGGAAGUACUGUCUUUGCCUGAAGGAAAAAAACCUAUUGGAUGUAGGUGGAUUUACAAGGUAAAAUACAAAUCUACUGGUGAAGUGGAAAGGUUCAAAGCUAGGUUGGUAGCCAAGGGGUAUAGUAAAAAAGAAGGGAUUGAUUAUCAAGAAACCUUUUCACCAGUAGUUAAAAUGAAAACUGUGAGAUCAGUCCUGGCUAUUGCAGCAACAAAAAAAUGGCAUAUACACCAAAUGGAUGUGUUCAAUGCCUUUCUACAAGGUGAUUUGUUUGAUGAGAUUUACAUGGAGUUGCCUCAAGGAUUUCUGAGUCAGGGGGAGACUAAGGCAGUGUGCAGACUCAAAAAAUCCUUGUAUGGAUUGAAACAAGCUCCUAGGCAGUGGAAUGCUAAGUUAACUGAGGCACUUCUUGAGUUCAAGUUUCAACAAAGUCAAUAUGACCAUUCAGUAGUUACAAGAAGCAUUCAAAAUGAAGGAAAUUUCCUUGGCAUUGAGUUUGCAAGGUCAAAGGAAGGUAUUCUCAUGCAUCAAAGGAAGUAUGCAUUAGAGCUGAUUUCUGAAACAGGUCUAGGGGCUGCAAAACCUACUAUGACUCCUAUGGAUGCAAAUGUGAAGUUAACAUCAAAGGAAUAUGAUGAUUAUGUGCUCAAAACUCAAGCAGAACCUAUGGCUGAUCAAGGCUCUUAUCAGAAACUCAUAGGAAAACUUAUGUACAUCACUAUAACCAGACCUAAUAUUUCAUUUUGUGUACAGUCCUUGAGUCAAUUCUUAUAAGCUCCUAAACAGUCUCAUAUGGAAGCAGCAGUUAGAAUAGUUAGAUAUCUGAAAAAAAGAGCCAAGGCAGGGAGUCUUACUAUCUAGCAAUAAGAGCAUUGAUAUAUCAGCUUAUUGUGAUGCAGACUGGGUUGCUUGUCCUAACUCUAGAAGGUCUGUAACAGGAUAUGUAGUGAAGCUUGGUGACUCUCCUAUCAUAUGGAAGUCUAAAAAACAAACAACUGUCUCCAAGAGUUCAGCAGAAGUUGAAUACAGAAGCUUGGCUUCAACAGUAGCAGAGUUGAUAUGGAUAAUUGGGUUAAUAAAAGAACUUGGUGUGGAGGUUACUCUUCCAGUUAAGGUGUAUAGUGACAGUAAAGCUGCGAUACAAAUAGCUGCAAAUCCAGUGUAUCAUGAAAGGACUAAACACAUUGAGAUAGAUUGUCAUUUCAUUAGAAAAAAGGUUAUGCAAGGAAUGGUUUCUACCAACUACAUUCCUACAAAUGAACAACCUGCAGAUAUGUUAACCAAAAGUUUGCCCAGAGUUCAACAUGAAGUUUUGAGUUCCAAGUUAGGUAUUCAAAACAUUUUUAGAGUACCUAACUUGAGGGGGAGUAUUGAAGGUAUUAAAGGAGUCACUUAGAUAGCUAGGUAAGUGAUAAGAAGUUAGUUACUAUAUUAACUAACUUCCUGAAAGGCUAGUUAUUUUAACAGCUGUCAGUUAGUUAGGAUUAGAGUAGUUUUGAAGUCUAUAUAAAGUUGUAUUUGUAAGCCUAUUAAAGACAUUGUGGUUAAUGAGAAUAACAAGAUAAACUCUCUUAAUUCUUCUUCUUCCUCACCUCCUCUUCUUCUCUUAGAUGUUCUUCUUUACUUUACAUACUUUCUCAUAUAGUUUCACAAACAAAACUUUAACUUCAUCUCACAUAAAAAUAAAUAUAACUAGUUUCAAUAAGUUGGGUAAAUGUAGCUUUAAAUAUAAUUGUAGGAGUAUAUUUAUUGCAAAAAAAAAAAAACAUAACGAAUGAUAAAUAUUAAUUUAUUUUUUUAUAGUAAAAUGACAAAUAUGAUCCUUUUAUCAUUUAAACAGUAGAAAUCACUUUAAGCUUAACUGAUGAAUACAUAUAUUACCACCAUCGAUGGAUGUGAUGCAACAAAUGAUCGAAUGGGGCUAUUCUUUCCUUAAUUAGAAAUUUCGAUUUUGAAAUUUUAAUAUGGAAAAAUUCUUGAUAGGGAGCGUUUCCACCCAAAUGAGGCCUUAUGACGCGUAAAUUCAAAAUAAUUGGAUUUAUAAUAUAAACCCAAUAUAAAUCCCGAACACUAAAUUUAAGACCAAAAAAAUGCAUAUAAUCAUUGAGUACCUUUACUUGUGAGUAACAACAAAAGAACCAUCAACAACAUUUUAGACCUCUAAGCUUUUAAAUUUUUUUUCUUAUUCCGUUUAAUUACUUUUACUAGUCCGUUAUUGACGUAAUACUUUCUUUAAGAAAUUACUCAGUUGUUAAGAAAUUGUUUUAUUGAAUUAUCCACAUUAACAAUAUUUUGAAAAUUUAAAUUUGAUUGUUAAUACUUUAUGUAAUAUUUAAUGGAAACACUAAUAUCAGAAGAAAUUAAAAAAAAUAAUCUCCUUGCCUUUUAAAGUAGAAAAAGGGAAAAAAAUUAUUUCUAAAGGGACCAGUAAAUUAAUUAUUCAAAUAUUUAUAUCGUUUAAUUGGGUACGAAGAGUUAAAAAUAAAAAGUGAGUUUGUCUAGUUGGGUACGAAGAGUUAAAAUAAAAUUUAUAUAUUAGUGUAUAAUACAUCUUAUAAUUUUUAUAUAAUAUUGUAUAUUGGGUGUAUUGUACUCCCUCCGUCCCUAUUUACUUGCCAAAUAUUUUAUAAUUUGAUUUCCCUUUUUACUUGUCAUUUUUGAACAAAUCAAGAAAUGACUAAUUUUUUUCUUCUUAUUAUACCCUCAGUUUAUUAACGUUGAGUUAAUGUCUUUGAAAAAUGUAGUUAGUAAUAAUGUUUAAAACUUUAUCAAUUAAUAUGGGGUAAAAUGGUAAACACACUAAAAAAAUAGGGGGAAUUACGCAGAUAAGCAAACAUAUACUAGUUAAUCAACUAACAUAACUAUAAUUUGAAUUAAUUAUCACUCUCAGCCUUUUUUUAACUUUAAUUAUGUGUGCCUCUCUCCUCUCUCUCUCUCUCUCUUAUCCAUAUAUACAAUUAUAUGACUGAUAUACAAAUACUAUUCGCUUUUUUCACUCUCUGCCCCUAUCUCGCUCAUCUCUCUCCUCUAUACUCCCUCUCCCAAUCCCGCUCGCCAGAUAUACAAAUACAUAUGUAUACCAAAUAUAUGUCUACAAUUAUCUGACAGAUAUACAUAUACAGUUUGACAAAUAUACAAAUACAAUUCACCUCUCUCGCUCGCCUCUCUCCUCCUUCUCCCAUUUUCUCUCGUCUUUCUCCUCCCUCUAACAUGUACCUAUGAAUCGUAAUUAGCAAACUAUAGCUGUGAAACCUAAUUAAGUUAUUUUUAGUUGGUCAUUUGUUGAAAUUUCUCCUAAAAAAUAAUGUCUAUACAAUUGAAAACAUAAAAUUCCGAGUGGGCUUAAGCUCCUAAAUAUACAUAGGAAUUUUGGAUAUAUUUAUGGCCUCUUUGUUAGUUGACUUAGUAGAUGUAGAAUAUCUAGAAUUCAAUGAAAAUAUAUGGAACAGAAGUGUAGGAAAGAUAACAUAAUUUAUACAAGGAAUGUCUAACAUUUUAUUAUUCCCUUAGUCCAAUAAUACUUGUUCAUAAUUGACUUUACACACUUAUUAAAAAACUAUAAAUAAAAGGAUAAUUUUACUAUAUAACCAUUUGAUUAUACUCUCUCCGUCCAACAAUACUUGUCCACUAUACUAAAAAUAGAUGUCCAACAAUACUUGUCCACUUUAUGAAAUCAAUGGAUAAUUUUACAAUUUAGUUCAUAAUUUACCCUUAUCAUUAAUUAUAGUUAUUUCCUUAUUACAUUUUUCAAGACAUUGUAUUUAUUAUAUUCAAAGGGCGAUAUAGUAAAAUUAUCCUUCUAUUUUAUAGUUUCUUAAGGGGUGUGCCAAGUCAAUAUUGGACAACUAUUAUUGGACAGAGGGAGUAAUAAAUAGAGGAACUUUCGCAUAUAGUCACUCAAAAAUAGCUUAAUUAUACUCCAUAGUUAUAGUUUGCUAAUUACAAUUCGUAGCUACAUGUUAUAGGGAGGAGAGUGAUGAGCGAGUCUGGGAGAGGGAGGAGAGAGGCAAGCGAGAGAAGGCAGAGAUUGGGAGAGAGGUGAAUUGUAUAUGUAUAUCAGUUAGAUAAUUGUAUAUUAUACAUAUGUAUUUGUAUAUUAUGGCAAGAGAGAUUGUGAGAUGGAGGAGAGAGGCGAGCAAUAUUGGGAGAGAAAGGAGAGAGGUGAGCGAGAUUAAGAGAGGGAGGAGAGAGGCGAGAGAGGACAAUAAUUUGUAUAAUUUGCAGGUACAUUUGUAUAAUUCACGUGUUUUUGUAUAAUUGAGUAAUAUAAAGUCUGGAAUUAUAUAAAUAUAAUAAAAACUCGAAAUAGUGAAUUGAUUCAAACAUAAACAUAUGAACUUUAAACAAUUAUACAAAAUAUAUUAUACAAAUUACAUUAUAUAAAUUAUAUUAUACAAAAUCUGAAAACUACACGUUUAUGCAAACUUUAAAAAAUUAUAAUAAACAAAAAGAUAGAAUGUAUAUGAUGACAAAACUGAAAAACCAAAGGAAAUCAUCAUCAUAUACAAAUAUAAACCACCGUAUACAAGUACAUAUCAAACAAAUAAUUGUUAGUUGUGAAUUAUAUAAAUGUGGCAAAUUAUACAUAUACAACCUUCAUAAUUAAUUGAGGCUAUAUGUAGGACUAUCUACGGUUAGGUGAGGCUAUUGCUACAAAAAAAAUAUCAUGGUGGCUUGAGAUAAAGUUUGUAUACUUAAAUGUGCAAGGAGUUUGUAUACUUCUCAAUCUAAGCAUAUGAAAUUUAGCUAGUAUGACAUAUCCACCAUCUAUUAAGUUAUAUUUUCUCCCCUUGAGAAUUAUGUCUUAACAGAAUGUGUCUAUUAUCUAAUAUUUGAAUGUGUUUUCUGGUAAAGUAGGAUACUUAGAAGAAACUAAUUAUUUAGUUUGCCCUCGGAUUGUAAAGUUUAGUGGUAAUUAAUAAAAGUUUUCUUUAAUUACUAAAAAAACCUUUAAAAUUGAAAACUCCCUCAUUAUUCAUCUAAUCAUUUCGAAAAAUAUGUCACUCAUCGCUGCAGAUUUCAAAUGACAUAUCAAAGCUAUUAAAAAUGAUAAAACAUGAAAAAACAUGCAAAAAGCACAAAAUGACCAUGAGGAUCGUUACACCAUCUAUCACUAAAAUACAUAUUCGUCCCUGAACGUAAUGAUAAAGAAAGUACAUGUAUCAUCGAAAAAUAGAGAUAUUUGUUGCACUUGUCUAACUUGGUCUCCCAAGUGACUUCCUCCUCCACCAAAUGAUGUAUCCAUUAUACUUUCACUAAAGUUAUUUGUAAUACCCCAAAAGAAAUUUUUAAGAUAAAAUCUGAAUCGUACGUAUGGAUGCUUCCUAGUUGUUUAUGUAUGUUAAGGUUCAUUACCAAGUGUAGUAAGUGUAUCAGAAGUGAUUUAGGGUCAUUAGGGACCCCUAACACUAAGCCAAGUUCAAAGUCUUUCCAACUUGUUAAGUUUUUCCAUGAAAUCAUACAGGGAUCAACUUCAAACGAUCGUAUAUCUUAGAAUAUGAGUACUUAUGUGGCUCAUGACCUAUCAAAUAAAAGUCCUAUGAGUCUUAUUUCCGACACCAUCAAACUUUCCUUAAUACAGGUUCGGAAUGAAAAGUUAUGACUGUUUUACUACAUACACUUCUAUCAGAGAUUUCUACUUCAGGAACUACAAAUUGAAAUUAUGGGUUGUAAAUUCAGCUCAUGGUUUUGAGAUCAGAGGCUCAAACUUUGCAACUAAAUUCCAAGGAUUCAAUCCACGAUCUGUGGAUCAUUUUACGAGCCAUAAAAGGAUUCGUAGACCAUGUAAAUUACUGUAUAUCAUGUGUAUCAAGUGUAUAAAAAAAUUUCUAGAUUUCAUUAAAAUGUUAUUUUGAAUUUCUUUUCACUACUUUUCAUCCCUUGGUCGGUCCUAGGGGUGUGCAAAAUCCGAACCGACCGAUAAAUCAAACCGAAAAAAGUGUUAUUGGUUUAUUGUUAUUGAGUUAUUGGAUUAACAGUUUUUUAAUGGUUUUAUAAUUAAAAAAAAAAGGGAAAAUUAAGCAAGUUGGCAAACAUACCUAGGUUAUUAGUCAAUUAGGGUAUAGUUUAAUUUAUUUACUGUCAAUAAAUACAGUUUCAGUUUUUUUGCCAUUAAUAAUGGGACCCACCACAUCUUUGUAUACCGAAUCAAAGGAGCAUUAAUAAGAUUUUGUAUAUGAUUUUAUACAAAAUCAAAUUUAUCUCUCAUGUCCCCAUUUCCUUUUUUUCUCCUAAAAUCACUCUUCCACUUCUAAUUUGAAAUUGGGAAAAUUCGAAUUCCACUUUCUCCCUCUAAUCGUGUUUUCAAUUUUUGCAGGAAACUAUCAAAAUCUUGGGUGAAUCUUUUUUUCUUUUCAUUUUUCAACAUUUGUUUACAUAUGUAUUAUGCUUGUUAGUUUUAUGAUAAAUUUGUUUUUAAAAAAAAUCUCUCAUCCGUUUUGCCAAAACAAAAUGGAUGAUUCGACUCCAUCUAAGAGAAUUACGAGAGGUACACCAUUGCAUGUCCAAGUUGUUGACCAUCCACCUUCAUUUUCAAUUGGUUUAACUCAAGAUUUGGAGUUAAUGCAGGGUCUAUGACAAAAUCUAUACAGUUGAGGAGUAAAUAAUUUCAUGAUUUCUUUCCCAACGAUUUACAUCGCAAAUAAAAGGCUCAGGUUCUAUCGGGCAGUCUUUUAAAAAUUGGGCUUUUAACAUGCCCACUUGGGCCAGGGUUUAAAACCAAGUGGCCCUCUAUUUGUUCUGAAGUGGUCCCCUUUGUGACUUUUCCACCCACGUGACUUCUUUCACCAAAAAAACCUUUUCUUCUCUGUUAGGUUUAACAGGCAGCUUUUCAGACCUAUGAAUAUCUCUGCACCUCGAAAGAUUUGAUGGGUUCCUCCCUCGAUACCCAUCCUCGUCUCUUUCCUUACUUGUACAUGCUCCCUCAUCGUACUUUUUACGAAAAGUCACCGACGAUUCUACCCAUAUAGGUAGAGAGAAGAUGUUCUCCUCAUCGGCAAUCUCGAUGGAUGCCGGAAUUUUUUUUGUCGGACCUUUGACACGAAUCCUAGCCCAACGGAGAUGAUUUUUUAGAUCGGUUUCUUCUUCUGUCUCUAUCCAGCCGCCACACAGAUCUCCAAUUUCCUUCAUUAUUGGCCUGGACCAGAGAUGUUGGGAACCAUUCGAACUCAUGGGUUAUUGGGAAAGCCCCAAUGGUCAGCGACCACCAUUGAAGCUUUAAUCUGCUCCCUUGUCUUCUCCAGUCACCCAUCAAAACAUGUUCUGCUAUUUUUCUGGACUGGAAUUUAAAAAGAAAUAAAAUUUCAUUCAUAUCAUAGAUUUGGACUCCAUGUGCUCCAUCCCAAGUCUAUUUGGCCCAUCUUCUUACAUCAUUUCUAGUGGGUGUAUCAUCUUCUCCAAAAACAAAAUCCCCACUAGACAACGUGCCAAUAGGUCUUCGUCUUCUAACUGGACUCGAUCUUUCAACAUGCUGCCUUCUUAUGCUAGCUCUGUCUCAACUCUAGUUCAUUUACUUUUCUGCAAAACCUCUUUAUAACUCAUUCCCCCCCUUGUUAGCAGCAUACUCUGCCUCCCCGGAUAAUUUAAGUGCUUUUGUUUGCUUUAUACCCCUAUUAAUGAAUGUUUCUAUCUUCUUAGCUAACUUCUCUCCCACCCCUCAUUGAAUGCACUUUCUGGGAGUAUAAUAACUGCUCUAUUGUUUUUUUUGUUUUAUGACAAGGGAAACCUGCAACCGCUAUCCUUUGGGUGCACACAGGGUAAAACCUCGGCUCAUAUGCAAUAGCUCGCAAAUCACAUACUCUAUCACUACCUUUAACUGAAAUUAGAGAUAGGUAUCUCCCGUAUUGAUUGAAUUUCAAAGCUAUAAAGAAGUUAGUUGAGAAAUCCCUGCAUCUCCAUGACUUGGUCGCUUUCCCUCUGAUCCCUGAAGCCUCAAGCCUCUGUUAGCCUUUUUCAGACCCAACCAAGUGCUCCCCUGCUAAGAACCAUUCUCCUCUUGUGAUGCCUAGCAUUUUCAACCCAGUCAUACCAUACUUCAGCUUUUGAUCUAGACUCUGUGAUGUCGUAAGACUUCCCCCAGAUCUGAAAUAAACUCUGUUGUCCAUCUGAACAACAAUGGGGUUAAAAAGGAGAGAAAGAAAGAAAGAGAGUGGCAUUCUGGUGAAAGAAGUCCACCGGAGAAAAGAAAAAACCAACCAAAGUCCAGAAGGAACUUCAGAAGAUUGUCGUGAAACUAGUGCCUGGGAGCAUACUUUAAAUCAUACUCACUCAGAUUUGUGCAUCUGCUAAAAGGAAUCAGGCCACACCCUAUUAUGUGUUGCAUUUUCGGCAUGCUAGUGGCCAUGAUUUGGAGAGGGAGGGACCUACUCAGAUUUCAACAUACACAGUUCCUUCCUGAUUAGAUCUGUAGAGAAACUGGUUACCAUGUCCACAUCAAUGGCAGAAACAACACCAAAUAGCAGAGGACUCUGGCAUCUAUAGAUUGUUAUCCUUUGUCUAUUUUUGUUGCAUAGGAAAAAUAUGAUUAGUGAUUUAUCUCCUAAUUUGCAUGUAUAAGUUAGCAAUGGCGGAGCUAGAAUUUUCAGUAUAUGAAGAAGUAAAUACAAGAAGAAGCUUAAGGGAGUUUAACAUGUACUAUAUAUAGUUUUUUUUAAUCAUGUAUAAAUAAUGUUAUUUUCCUUCGAAUGAGGUUUGGAACCCCCUCGGCCUACCUGGCUCUAGGGGCGGAGCCAACAUGAUGUUAGGGGGUUCAUCCAAACCCCCUUUGACGAAAAAUUACUCUGGUUAAAAUUAUUUUUUAUGUGUAAAUAGUAGAUGUUGAACCUCAUUUGGCUAGUUCGUGUCUUUACUUCUUCAUAUUUUAAAAUCCCUUAAUGAAAAUCUUGGAUCUACCACUGCUUGGCUCCACCCCUACAAGUUAGUUGAGUAGGAACAUUACCAAAGUUAGCUGAAGCCUAAAUGAUUGAUCAUAUCAAAUGCUUAGGUUCCUAAUGGCUAUAAUAUAAAUUGAAAUCAUGUGGAUCUAGAAAGCUAUGACCUUUAUCCCAAAAUCAGCAUACAACGACAACAAUUACAUUUCUAUGGGAAAUAUGUAAUACAACACGUAGUAACUAGUAAAUCGGAGUUCAUUCUUAAUGCAAUGGAAUCUCCAAUUCGUAUUAUACCAACUUCAUAGCCUCUUAUCACAGGGAAAGCAUAGUAACUGGUAAAUUGGAGUUCAUUCUAUAUGCAAUGGAAUCGCCAAUCGUAUUUUACCAGUAUAAAUCUGUGAAAGAGAACAGUUAGUUAUGUAUAAAUCGAGAGAGAUGGCGGUAGAUAGAAAAAGGAACUUACGAGUGGAUUUCACUGGAGAAGGAGAUCGGAAGGAGGAGGUCCGUGGCUCAAGUGAAGCAGUAAUAGAAAAGGGAAAACAGAUAGUAAAAAAAAUAUGACAACUUUGCCAACGUGAAGAAACUCCGGCGGAAAAAAAGAAACUCCACGUGAGCACAUAUAUACCUUUAAAAUACACUAUUAAAUAGUUCAGGGGGUAAAAAAUAUGGUAUUAAAUAGUUUACGGAGGUAAUAAGUCCUUAUGACAGUUUAGUAUCGCAAUAACAAAUUCAACCAAAGUUGGGUAUUUUUCAAACACUUAUCCCUAAAAAAAACAUUGUUUUGUGAAUGUUCAUGAACAAAAACAAGAUAGAGUAAAGUAUAAUCAACCUAAUUAUUUUUUCUUUGUUGAUGAUUUUAAUUUGACACAGAUUUUUAAAAGAAAUAGUACACAGACCUUAGUUUCACCUUGUGAAAAUAAAAUUAUUUUUGAAAGAUUGUCAACUCAAGUGAAGCAGUAAUAGAGAAGGAAAACGGAUAGUAAAAAAAAAUAUGACAACUAAAAGAAAAAUCAGUAUGGAGCAUAUAUGCAUGAAAUCGUCAUAUCAACAACAAAAUGUGAUCACCUAAAUAUAGUAAACAACAUAUAAUAACAAAUACUAAAAGUCAAAAGCUACGUAAAUAUGUUAAUAAUACGACAUACACGAUGCUCUAGACUAUCACCAAGUCAUAGACUACAUGAAUAGAUUAAUAUUAAGACAACGUCCGAUUAUAUUCUAACAUUUUAUCUUUAUUUGCGAUUUUCAUACCCUCCUAUCUAAAAUCAUAUUUGAUAAACUUGAUUUUAAUUAUCACAUUUAGAAUUUGUACGCCAUAAAGAUUUUUAAGACUCCCAAUACUGACCAAAAAGAAGCAACCAAAUUUGAAUUAGGUCCUAAUUGAAGUGUAAUAUGUUAAUAAAUAAUGUUCUAUUUUAUUUUAGGCCAUGCUAAAAUCACUACCCCACUUUCUUAAAUUAUUGCUAAAAUAAUGUAUGAUAAUUUGUUUGUUUGUAAAUGUGUGUAUAUAACACAAUUAUUCAUAUUGAUUUAUUCAUUUGGCAAAAGUUUGAUCCGAAAGUGAUUGGACGUGGAAUAACAAGUACUAUGGGUUAUAAAACAUUAUCAUUGCAAUGAGAUAAUAUAAAAUGUUUUAUGUUUUAUUUCACGUUUAUAAUAUAAUUAGGUAAAUUGUUCGUGAUUCGCGCGGUGGUGAACUACGUCAAUAAUCUACUUCUGAACAUUUGAUAAUAUAAGUGUUUUUGAGUGGGUAAAGCCCUACAAUAAAUUGUCAAGAAUAUUUUAUCCAAAGAUGAAAUGAAAUAUUUUUUAAUCUUAAAACAAAAAGAUUUUAUUCUAAUUGUUUAUGCAUUUGUUAUUAAUUCUUCAUUUUACUCUAGUUCUUCAUCACCAAAUUCUUUAGAAAAGAUAUGUAAAUGUUUCAUUGUCUAUAUUUGUAUUUUCAAAAAGUGGUACAAACAUUUUAUUCAUCAAUUGCGAGAGUUUUUCUCCUAUUCAAGGCCUCUACAUACAGAAUCUAAAUGUUAUACAUCUUAUGUAAUUUGUUUUAUACUUGAUAAGUUAAUUAAAAUAUAAAAGCGUAUAUCUUGGAGUUCAAUGAAAUAACGUAUGUCGCUCAAAUAAUUUGGAUUAAAUGCACUACAAGAAAACUGUGAAUUACAUGGAAAUUUUUCCUAGGGAAAAUUUUCUCAACUAUUUCAUGCGGAUGUCUUGCAAAAGUUUUAAAUUCCUCAAUAUUAGAAUAUAUUACCUAUGAAAUGUAUAUUUCCAACAAAUUCCGUAGGUAAAUUUGGCGCCAUGUUGCGCCAGACAUGAACUUGCGAUAUUACCUGGGAAAAAGUAAUGGCAAGUACAUUAUCUCUAGCUAAAUCCGCAGGUACAUGAACCAAAAAAUAUUUUAAAUCAUUUUUUAUUCCAUAGAAAAAUCCCCAGGUAAUCCAUCCUACAGAUUUUUCUGGAGAUAUUUUGGUGAAAAUUUAUGUGGGAAUUUUAUUACUUCGGAAAUUAUUUGGGGAUUAGUUGCUGUGAAAUUUGUUGGGAAUUUAUAUUUGGGGAUUUAUCUAGGAAUUUUAUUACUUGGGAAAUUAUUUGGGGAUUAAUUGUUGUGAAAUUUGCUGGGGAUUUAUAUUUGGGGAUUGUCCUGGGGAUUUUAUUACUUGAAAAAUUAUUUGGGAAAUACCUAAGAAUUUAAUUACCUGGGAAAAUAUUAAGGAAUUUUUUGAGAAUUUACGUAGGAAUUUCGUGACUUGAAUUAGAAUUAUAUAAAAUGAAAAAAAAUAAAAAAUUACUUGUAUUUCCAAUUGAUAUAUUUUUUUACAAGCAUUAAAAAUUAUAUAAUUUCUCUAUAGUAAGUUAUUAAAUGAUAUUUAUUUCUAAAUAUAUAAUUACAUAUUUUAAAAUAUAAUUAUUAAAAGAUAACUUUAAAUUAUAAAUACCUCACAUGUCUAAUAAGAUAUACUAUUAAUUGUUGAUUAUAACUUCCUUGCACAUUAAACUUAUAAAUAAAUUUAUAUUUUCAAUUAUUUAUUUAUAAGAACUUGGUACGUAUAAUUUAAUUUUUUUCUAUAUUUAAUAUGCUUAGUUAUUAUAUUAUCUCAUCGAAAGUAUAAGCAUAAAAUUUUCAUGAUAUGUUGUGUGGCAAUGAUUUAUUUUAAAUAUAUAAAUAAUUUUCAUGUUUCAUUUUUUAAGAAUUAAAUCACAUGAACUUUAGCUAAUAUUUUAAGAUAUAAUUCGUUACCAUAUUAAUAUGAGAUGACUUUAUAGUUCUUUUUAUGUAAUUUAUGAAUAUUAAAAUUGUAUUUUUAAUAUUUAAUUAAUUUAAUUUAAUUUAGCUUUAAAAAUUAAUCAAAUCGGAGAAGAACACCAAAAAGAAAUAUAAUAUCUUUGGUACUUCUUGUACCACAUCGAUGGAAGACCCUAAGAUAUUAGCAUAUAUAAUGCUAAGAGUUAGAAUAUUGGGAGAGUGGAGCAACUAUGUAUGGGUGGGCACUGGAUAGACAAUGGUAUUUAAUAUAGGUAAUUGGGAUUGGGAUUAAGGGUUAAUCAUUUAAUAUGGGUAUACAAUGGUAUUUAAUGUAGGUAACAAAGAAGAGAAGUGAAUGUGUAAUGAGUGGGAUAAAGACGGGUCUCUAACCAAGAAGAGGUGUAUAUGUGUAUGAGGUUGUAUAAACUAAAUAAUUAAUUAUGAGAUAAUAAUUACUAUUGCUUAAAAGAAAUUUCUUAAAAAAUUAUUAAAAUAUUUUCAUGCGGCUAUAUUUGUGAAAAAAAAUUGUAAGAAUAUUCCUAUUUUGUUACUUUUUACCAAAAUUAUUUUGGAUAUUUUUAGUAUUUUUUGCAAGAAAAUCCGCAAGUAAUUUACAUGCAAAAUAUAAAUCCCUAGGUAAAUUACUUGCGGAUUUUGAAAUUCGCAGGAUAUAAUUACCUAGGAAGGUUUUACCAUCAGAUUAUUUUUGGUAGGAAAAUCCGCACGAAACUAAGUUUCCUGCAAAUUUUCGUAUACAAUCCCUAGGAAAAUCCCCAAGUAAUCCACACUUUUCUUGUAGUGAUGAUGUCUUGGCAAGUUCCUUAUUCAAAAUCAUUCGCAAUCGAUGGCACUACUUUGAUAGCCAAAAAGUCAUAUUUUGUUGUUUAUGUUUCUAUCAAUAUGGUUAAAACUUUUUUUUUAAAAUGCAAUUUUUAAUCUAAUGUUUAUAAGGAGAUAAUUAUUUCUUUAAGAUUUGAUUAAUAUGGAUUCAUCCUACUUUGAGGGGUAAUUCAUUGACUCCAAUCCGAAAUUUGAACCCCAAACUUUGAUCAAAGUUGAGUACAAUACUUACCUUCCCACUACAUUCAUUUUUUUUGUCACUAAUCGAUUGAAUACCUCGAAAAGAUAGAAAGUUGAAUAACUAAAACUCCAAGGUAGUGUGGAACCACCACAACUUCUGAACACUCAAAAGUCCCUUCUUGACAUCCAAUGAAUCUUUUUGCCACUGAAAAAUCUAUAAAGAUCAAAGUCAUUCAAUUCACAAGUUUAAGAAUUCUAAUCUACAUGACACGAAUAGUCUAAUGAUUACAUCAAACUCUUGAUUAACAUAUCUUUACUUCAACAUAAUGAUCAAAAGCAUAAGCAUAAACAACAAAGUUUAAAACAUGUACUCAAAAACAACAAUUAAUAACAUAAGCAUAAAUUAAUGACGGUAAAAAAACAUAUCGGCCAGGAUCUAUAACAAUCAAAUGAAACAAAAAGGAAAAAAUGGAGCCCACUGAAUUCACAUUGUCCCCUUAAGGAAAUUAUUCCCCUCUAGUAUCUGAGUUUUAAAGGAAUAGAUCCUCUCAGGAUAGAAUGAUUUUAUUCACCAGUGUAUUGAUAUAAAAACAAUAGUGUCAGUGAGCCACUCAACAGGAGCAAAGUACGGAAAUAUUUAAUUGUGCAGAAGAAGAAGAAGUUCAGAAUCUUCGUUGUUUUAAAAUGAGAGGAAAUCCAUCUAUUUAUAGACAACAAAGGGUAGUGUGAACAAAUGUUUAUUGUGUCAUAUCGGAAAGGACAUAACUCUUUGAAAAAGUCACUAAUCUUUCAUAAAAGUUGCAACUCUUCAUAAAAGCUGCAACUCUUCGUAAAAGCCGCAACUCUUCAUAAAAAUCAUAACUCUUUAUAAAAGUCACAACUUUUCAUGAAAGGGAAGACUAAUUUUGAAAAUAAAUAAAUUAAAAGGGAAUCUUGGUUUGUGGUGGCAGCCACGUAGCUGGCCCAAGGGUUCUCUUUUAUAUAUAUAUAUAUAUAUAUAUAAUACAUAAUUUGUUGAAUAUUGUUGUUUGGAGAGACGAGCACAAUCGAUUUCACACAACUUGAAUUUUAUUAUAUCAAAGUAAGGACCCGCUUUGGUCUUACAAUUUUUACAGGCAACUCUCUCUUAUUUCUUACUCACUUGUUGUUUGUUCUCUUGCUUACUUUCUUGGUUGCUUUCUUUCUUGGUUGCUUACAACUCAAAUGGACCACCUCUAUUUAUAGAUGGUGAUGGAAGAAUCUAGCUAAGGGUUUUGCUACUAUAUUUUAGAAUGUUCUUCUAACUUUCUAUUUCUAGAACUACCUUUUCUAGAACAUCUCUAGACUUUUCUCUCUAGAAUACUCAUUCUAGAGCUCUUCCUUUAUUUCUUUAUAACUCUUGAAUAUUCUAGAUUCUUCUUUGAAAUGUCUUGGAGAUCAAUUAAGUUGGUGAUGAUUUCUUAACACUCCCCCUCAGCACCAACUUUAUUUUCUCUUUCAAUCAUUCCAAGCGCUUCUCGAAAUCUUAUAAACUUCAUGUUGUCCAGGCUCUUUGUGAAUAUGUCUACUACUUGCUCUUCUGUCUUGAUUUGCUUCAUUUCAAUUUUGCCUUGAAGAACUUUUUCUCGAAGAAAAUGAUGUACUUCAACAUGCUUCGUCCGGGAAUGAAAUACAGGAUUUUCAGCCAAACGAAUAGCUGACAAGUUGUCACAAUAUAGUGGUGCGAUAUCAUUUGAUGGUUGAUGCAAGUCUUUCAUGAGUUGUUUUAGCCAUGUGCUCUUUUGUGCUGCCAUCGUUCCUGCUCGAUAUUCUGAGUUGAAAGUGAAAAUUGGUUGUCUUUUUGUUGCACCAUGAUAUUGCGGCUGAUCUAAGAUUGAAAACAUAUUCGGUGGUUAAUCUUCGAGUAUCAUGGUCACCAGCAUAAUCCUCAUCACAGUAUCUGAUUAUCUUGUAGGGAACCCCUUUCAUAUAGAAUAGUCAAUAGUUCUUUUCACAUACCUUAAUAUCUUCAUGAUUGCUUCCAAAUGAGGCUUCUUUGGUUUCUACAUAGAUCGGCUAACUACUCCAACUGCGAAUGCAAUAUCUGGUCUAGUCAAUGUUAAGUAGAUAAGACUACCGACAAGUUGACGAUACAUUGUUUCUUCCUCCAAGUCUUUGCCUUCAUGGGAACAUAAUUUAGGUUCUAUCGGUGUAGAAGAUGUCUUGCAACCCAUCAUUCCAUAUUUUUGGAGUAGAUCUCUCGCGUACUUUUGUUGUCCAAAGAAUAAUCCAUCCUUUGUUUUUUCAACCUCAAGACCAAGGAAAUGUUUUAGUUCGCCCAACUCCUUCAUUUGAAAUCGUACCAUCAAAUUUCUUUACUUUGAUAGAUCUCAUCAAAGUCAUCUCCCGUGAUGAUUAAAUCAUCCACGUAGACUAAUAUGAUAGCUAACCUUCAUUCACGAGCUUUUAUGAAUAAGCUUGAAUCUGCUGGUGCCAUUUGAUAGCCACUUUGGAUCAGGAACUCGGCAAUUUUUCCGUACCAUGCCCGGGGGGCUUGUUUUAAACCAUACAAAACUUUCUUCAAUUUGCACACAUAAUCAGAAUUGACUCUAUUCACAAAGCCUAGUGGCUGAUCCAUGUAUAUUUCACGAUCCAAUUCUCCAUGAAGAAAAGCAUUUUUCACAUCCAUCUGCCAAAGUGUCCAAGACUUACUAGCUGCUAGAGCUAGUAACAUACGAACAGUAGUAAUUUUUGCCACGGGACUAAAUGUCUCGUCAUAGUCAAGAUUGUACUCUUGUGAGAAUCCCCGAGCUACUAAUCAUGUUUUAUACCGCUCGAUAGAUCCAUCAGGACGUGUUUUCAACUUAUAUACCCACUUACAUAAUAUGGGUUUAACAUCCAUACGUUUAGCCACUAACUCCUAAGUUUGGUUUAGCUUUAAGGCUGAAAUCUCCUCUUCCAUUGCCUUUCUCCAUUCACUGCUCUUCGAAGGUGGUAGGUUCCUUAACCUUAUCAACCUCAGCCAGUGCCGCAUUUAUAGACUUACUAUUUUGGCUUUUCACUCGUGUGGAUCUUCGUAGUUGAUGAGUUUCUUGUACUCCUUCUUGUAACUCUUCUGGAGUUUCACGAAUUCCAGUUUUCCAUGGGUUCUUAUUUUCUCCGCUUGAAGAUAUUUCUUUUGUAUGUGAUUCAAGUUUUUCACCUACCUCUUGUUGUAAUUCUGUUUUACUUCUUUGUCCUUCUUCUUCAGGCUUAUGUUGUAGCUUUUGCUCCAAUUCUAUUGAAUCUUGGCAAUGUGGCCUGUUCAGACCACCAUGAUGAUGCUUCAUCAAAUACCACAUUUCUUGACACAUAUGUCCGAUUUGUGGUAGGGUCACAACACUUCCAUCCUUUUCUUUGUUCGUCGUAUCCAGCAAAGAUGCAACGAACAAAUUUCUUAUCAAACUUGUUGCGGAGAUGAUCUGGCAUGAACACAUAGCACACACAACCAAAAAUUCGAAAGUGGCUUACGGUAGGAAUCAUCUUUUUUAAGUUUCUCAAAUGGUAAGAUGAAUCUCAAUCUUGCCUGCGGCAGCCUGUUGGUGAUGUGGACAACAGUCUUCAUGCAUUCUGCCCAAAACCUUGCUGGUACAUUUAUACUAUGUAACAUACUUCUGCAUAUCUCCGCCAAAUGUCUAUUUUUUCUUUCAGCCACUCCAUUUUGUUGUGGUGUAUUUGGACAAGUUAGUUGUCGUCUUAUCAACUUCUCUUUAAGAUAUUCAUUGAACUCUCGUGACGUGUAUUCUCCCCUGUUGUCCGUACAGAGACAUUUGAUUUUUCUUCCAAUAUCAUUCUCCACAGUAUAUUAAAACUCUUUAAACUUCUCAAAUACUUCAGAUUUCUCUUUUAAGAAGUGAAUCCAUACGUACCUUGAGAAGUCAUCAAUAAAUGUUACUAUGUAACGAUAACCGUUGAUGGAGGACUACUUUAUUGGUCCAAACACAUCUGAGUGUACUAGCUCAAAUGGCUCCUUCGCUUGAUACUUUGAUUCUCCAUAGGGAAGUUGAUGUGCUUUCCCAUAUUGACAUCCAGCACAUAUAGUGUCUCCUCUUAUCUCAAGCUUGGGAAGAACUUUUAAUUUUGAUUGUUGCAUCAUGAUUUUAGUUUGCUAUAGCUUACGUGCCCAAGACGUGCAUGUCAUAGAUCAGUUGUUUUAUUACUCAGCAUUUUCUCAACAUAAGCUGUCUCUGCUGACAUGACGUAGAUUGAUUCUAAUCUUCUCCCUUCCAUGAUUGGUGUGCUUGUAACUUUUAAGUUUCAAUAUACUUUUACAUCAUUUGGUCCAAACAAGACAUAGUUACUAGAAUUUGUUAGUUGCGAUACAGAUAAUAAGUUCUUCUUCAUACCUGGAACAUGGUAGACAUUUUGAAGUUACACUUGUCUUGAGCUGUGAUAAGGCACAAACACGAUAUUUCCAAUAUGAGUUAUUGGGAUUUUUGAAUUAUUUGUAGUCACUACAACUCAACCGCCUUUAUAUUCACUCAUGUUAAUGAGCUUUUUCUCAUUACCAGUCAUGUGAUUGGAGCAUCCUGAAUCAACGAUCCAAUCAUGUUCAUAAUCGACCAAUUUCUCACUCACAGUUGCAAGUGCAAUCUCCUCUUCUUUGUUAGAGUGACAUGUGAUAAGCUCCUCUUGUUGAUUAGUUUCUUCAACUACAUAAGAGGUCUCGAAAUCCCAAACUUCUUCUUAAUAUUUCUUAUUUUGAGUAGAAGUAGCUACAUUACCUUCAGCUUUCUUGUACCAGCAGUCUCUCGCAUAUUGUCCUUUCUUUCCACAAUUGUAGCACUUCUGCAUUUGCCGGUUGUUGAAGCCUUUUGCUUGCUUGUUUUGUUGUUGAGUUCUUUGAUGUUGAUUCUCUUGGUCUCCCAUUGGCCGUGAGCUUCUCUUCGCUUCUCUUUUUUGAUAGGUUUGCCUUUUGCUGAAGAGCGUCUUAUCUUCGUCUUUUAUAGUAAGACUUGAUAAUGGCUUCUCCAAAUCUUCUUUAUUUGCCAACAAAUUUUCCAACUCAGAUAAAGUUGGUUAUGUGGCCCACCCUCGUGUGGCAGUAAUUAUGCCUUUGUACUCCGGCCUUAGACCAUGAACAAUAAUUCUCCUCAUUCUUGUCUCUGUGAUAGCAUUCUCUGGAUCUAAUUUUGAUAUUUCAUCAGAUAAAGAUUUUACCUUUGAGAAGUAUUGACUAAUUGUCAUAUUCCGUUAAGAGAUCGACAAAAGGUCAUUUUCAAGCCUUUGUAAUCUCGUAUCAUUCUUCUUUGUAAAAAUCGUCGCCAAGGUGUCCCAAGCUUCUUUGGGUAUCUUGGCAUUCUUAAUCCGUUGUAGGAACUCAUCCUCGAUGGUUACAAUGAGAGCAUACAUGGCCUUUCCAGCUUUGACCUUCCACCUUUUUGCUACUUCAGCAUCUGUUGGUGGUAUGAUAUCUAAUCCACCGAUGAUAUCCCAUAAUUCUUGGCCGAGAAAGUAAUAUUGCAUUCUCGUGCUCCAUGAUCCGUAGUUGCUUGCGUUGAGCUUCUCAACGCUAUUGAGAGUGCUUGCAAAAUCCAUCAUUAAUUAGUGCCUCGCGAUUUGUAGCCUCCGACGGUAGCUUGUAGGAUCUCCUUUGAGUUACAACCCGACUCUGAUACCACUUGUUGAAUAUUGUUGUUUGGAGAGACGAGCACAACCAAUUUCUCACAACUUGAAUUUUAUUAUAUCAAAGUAAGGACCCACUUCGGUCUUACAAUUUUUACAGGCAACUCUCUUUUAUUUCUUACUCACUUGUUGUUUGUUCUCUUGCUUACUUUCUUGGUUGCUUACAACUCAAAUGGACCACCUCUAUUUAUAGGUGGUGAUGGAAGAAUCUAGCUAAGGAUUUUGCUUCUAUAUUCUAGAAUGUUCUUCUAACUUCCUAUUUCUAGAACAUCUCGGGUGUGUUUGGUAUGAAGGAAAAUGUUUUCCUGGAAAACAAGUUGAUUUUUGACUUAUUUUCUCAUGUUUGGUUGGUGAGUAUCGUAGAAAAUAUUUUUCGGAAAAGAUUUUUAGUGUUUGAUUUAUGAAUGAAAAAUAUUUUUGAGAAAUAUCUUUUAGUUUUACUAGAGUAGAAAAUAAUUUUUGAAAUUGAAAAUAUUUUUAAACAAACUUAAAUUUUUUUGAGGGGGUGGGGGGGUGAAAAAUUGAAAUUUUGAAGUUGAAAAUAUUAUUUUAAAAUAAACUUAAUUUUUUUCUUUUUGAAGGGGUUGGGGUUGAUAGGGGGAUGAUGGGAAGGGUGGGGCGAGGGUAGUAGGGUAAAAAAAUAAAAAAUUGAAAUUAGAAAUAUCUUUUAAAAAUAAUUUUUAAUAUUUUUUUGGGAGGGGUGGGGGUAGGGGGUGAGCGUAGGCGUGAGGGUGGGAUAAAAAAAUUAAAUUUAAAAACAAGCUUUAAAUUUUUUUUUCUUUUUGGGGGUGGUUGGGGGGCUGAUUUGAGGGUAGAGACAAAAUAAAUUUAUUUUUUCAAUAAAAAAGUAAUUGUAAUUUGAAAUUGAAAGAGAGUUUUGGAAAAUGUUUUCCUUAAAUUUUGAAGGGAAGUCAUUUUUUUUAAAUUUGAGAAAAAUGAGUUGAUUUGGAAAACAUUUUCCAAAACAUUUAACCCAACCAAACAUGAGAAAAUUGAAAAACAUUUCCUUCAUACCAAACACACCCCUCUAGACUUUUCUCUCUAGAAUACUCAUUCUAGAGCUCUUCCUUUAUUUCUUUAUAACUCUUGAAUAGUCUAGAUUCUUCUUUGAAAUGUCUUGGAGAUUAAUUAAGUUGGUGAUGUUUCUUAACAUGAUUUUCAGCUGGAAUUAGAUUUAUUAUUCUCACAACAUACUGAGAAAUCCAUAACAAAUAAGGUUGAAAUGAAAAUACAGUAAACUUAGGAGAAUCAAACAUACAGAAAUGAAGCAAACAAAGGGAGAUUACACUUAACAUAAUAAUGAAAAUUUAUUUCAAGAUUUAUUCAAACUCCAGCUUUCUUCAUUUUCGAGUGUCGACCUUCUAUAUUGACACACUGUUGGGAAUUCCUUUGCCUGUAAGUCCACCUUCACUUGUUGGGAAAAGCAACGUAUAUGGAGCGUUAACGGGGCCUGAUCUGUUUGUCAAUAUGUUGUCACCAUUCCUCUGUAUAAUCUGUUUUUCAAUGUCUGUCAACUUCUUUCCAAAUUUGUCGAAAGCAGCAAGUGGUUCUUUGUCCUUUGUCCAUUCAGGAGACUCUCGCUGUCCGAGGUAAAUCUCAUCUGUAGUAUGCCUUGACAAUAUCUCUAUGAGGGAAACACCAAGCAAUGUUUGUAAUUGAGCUGUGAUUGUUUUCAAGAACGCCUUAUCAGGGUUUUUCUUUAGCUCUUCAUAUUCAGGAGUUCCUGGUUCAGGCAUGAAUCUUCGACUUACUGUGGGGCGAUUUGGGAGGUAACCUGCAUAAGGAUAUUGCCCAAAAUUAACUGCUGCAUGAAGUGCAGAAGCUAUCCAUAUGAUGGUGGUACACGAAUCGAUUAGCUCUUGUGGUGUUUCCAUUUCAGGCCACCAUGGUUCAUUUUUCUUGUCACCAUGUCCCACUUCUCGGAGUUCCUUCCACCAGGCUUGGAGUUCAUUGUCUUUCAGAAUCUCUUCGUCCGAUCCAUAGUAGAAGCUGCAGUAGUCUGUCACCCAACUUUUGAUUGCAGACCAUAUUUCUAAGCCAUCAACAGCGUAUGGAUAGUCCUCUAUCAGUAAACGAACACCAUGAGGAGAACUCGAGUCCUCAACUGCUACUCCCCUGAAAUUGAAUUGGUCAUAUAAGCAAGAUACCAAUGUGAACAUCCUAAUGUUUUCGUAUAAUGUUAAUUUUGACAACACCUUAUUGUAUAGUACCUUUUAACAAGAUCAGCCGGAAGGGCUUGAUCAGGGAAAACCCAAUCUUUGUAAACGACAGCUGACAUUUCCAGGGCAAAUUUGGAUUGAAAAACUGUACGGAAAAACUGUACUCUCAAGAACCCCACCAGCAUUGAUUAGGAUCUGUCUUGCCAUAGCAUUAAUAUUCAUUGUGUCCCGGAAAUGAGGAUAUAGAAGCUUAUGAAUAGGGUGAAGCACACUUAGUUGCCUGUUUGUUGCAAUCACAAAUGGCUCGAUCACUGCAUGAGUAUUCAACCUGCGAAGAUGAUCAAACAUUUAGAUUAAUCGUACAAAGCAUGUGUUGAAUUAGUCAUUAUUAAGGACAUCACGAUGCACUAAAGCUCCCACUAUAUGCAGGUCUGAAGAAGGGUCGAACCACAAGGAUCUAUUGUACACAACCUUAUGAACUCAUAACAACUUUACCAAUUACUUCAAGGCUCCCCUUCGAGUUAGUUAUUAUUGUGUAUCAUGAAUCACUAUAGAAGUCGUAUGACAUAAAGGGAAUUACCAAUGACUAAUUAGUUGAUGAACACCAGAGUCAUUCACCGCAACAUAAGCUUUGGCCAAUUGCCAGAUAGAGCUCUCAACACCUUGAUCACUUGGAGUAUACACUUUGCUAGUAACACCAAAUUGAUCUCCAUCUGGAUGUGGCAAACUCAAUUCAAUUGCUAGUGGCUUCAAAGAUCCAUUAUCUUGCAAGAAGAGCAAAGUUCUCGAGGCAUAUGAUUUCGUUAUUGUAGUGUUUAUCCUCCUCAAAUAUGGUAUAAGAACAUCAUGAUGGUUCAAUAUGAAAAGUUUAUUAUUGUUCAUCGCCUGUCAAAUAACAUGUUAAAAUCCUUAUUUAGUACUUGUAACGAUUCGUAAUCAUACAAACUAGUGUGGAAUUUCGAGUAAAUACAUUACCUCAUCAACCGUUAGUCCAUCCAGCUUAUCCUCUAUGUGUUCUGCAGUAAUUGUACUGUUUUGAUUUCCAUAUGCUUCGGGAUCUAGCUUGCUUUUUGGAGGAAAUUCCUUGCAAAUUAAUCAAGAAACAAAGCAUCAAUACUCUUUAUCUACAAGAAGACUAUAUAGAUUAUAGACAAUCAAAAGUAACUCGAGACAAUUUCCUAAUCGCGAAGAAACCAACUUACUUGAAGUCUACUAAUUAUGAUAGGAUUAACUCCAGCUAGCAUUUCUCUUGCGAAUUCUUCAUCAGUCCUCCAUGCGGUUUUACUAUCUGCACAAUCAAUACUUAAAUCAUACAAACAUAUAAAAGUGAGUGAUCAUUAGCUAGAUUACUUCUUAUGAUGUAACAAUUUGUACCUUUAAUCACUAGAGGAGUUGGAAAUCUCAAUAUUCCUUCACCGUCUGUUCGAAGGAGUUCUUUCAUCAUCUCCAGAGGUAUAGCAGCAGUGAGAGCCUUAAAUAAAGGUCCUUGAGGAAGUUUGAUCCCUCCUUCAUAUAGUCUAAGUACAUCCUCAAAACUAUCGAACUCGUUAGGGGUACCAUCAAACAGGGCAUGUAAUUCAGGGAGGAUGAAUUGAACAAUGGAUUUCAAAGCAUAUGUUAGGAAGUCUGACAUCUUCAAGUGACCAAAACGCUCAUCUCUCGGUACAUAGAUGUCUAAGCUCAGAAUAAGUGGUAUCCUGCUUUCACUUUUAGGAUCUAUACAAAGCAAAAAACAAUAACAACAAUGUAACUGAUCAAAAAGUUGCUUUCAAUGAAACUAAAC